rnacentral:lncRNA from 1 species
CAUACCAAGGUCCAAGGGAGUAAAGGAAACAAACAAACAUAUUUGAUUGGAUAUGCAGCCUGUUGUGUUGAUGUGACCAACAUUGUACUCAUGAUACUCAUAAUAUUGGAUGUGGCAAGAGAGGUUAUAUCUUAUCUUAUUAAAAAGAAAAAUUAACUGGGAAUAAACAACCAUAACACACCAUCAUCAACAAACAGGAUCCCCACCAUCAUCGUACGUUUCUCUUCUUAUUGUCCUGCAAGCAUGUUGGUGAUUUUUUUUUAUCUAAUCGUAAUUGGGUUACUGAAAAAACUACUACUACUACUACUGCAGAAUAUGUACAGAAGAAUAUUCUUCUUUCACCUCCACCUAGCUUUCAGCGUGGCACUCCUUCCCAAUACCUAGGAGCUUACCCAUGUCCUUUAUGGGAACAAAUCCAACAUCAAGAUUACCACAAUAAAUGUCCAAGAACUUUUCCCUACUUGGCCAUAUUCCAGCUUCAAAUACAAUUCUAGCCAACAUUUUCACAUCAAAGUUCACUAUCCCUUUAUUCCAAUCAUUAACCAAACCAUGAGAAACAGCCUUAUAAGCUGAUUUGGUGGAAGAAUUUCUUAAGCUAAACUUAAUCUUCACAUCUUGGUCACUUGACUUCUUUAAGUAAAUGGGUUGCAGCACAAUAGCCCCAGAGAGCCCCACCGAUCCAUAAAACACCGAGACAGAGAAACGAUCAACUAUCAUCUCUAUCUUUUUGUUUGGGUUUGUUAUGUUUAGUUCAACCUCGAACAUGCCUUUUAGCUCUGAAUCAGAGACAGUGAAGUUGGACACAGAGAUUGAGCUGACUCGAAAAUGAGUUUUAUGUGGGUCCAUGACAUUCCAAGCUAUAGCGAUGAUGACAGUUAAAGUGAGAAAGAGUAAAAUGAAUGUCCAGGUAAGUCGACGGACUACACCGAGAGUAGAGGACCCCGGUGUCCUAGAAGAAGCAUUGGUGCUGGUAUGAGGAGGCUGAGGCUCCAUGUAAAUUUUGGAAUGAAGCUGGGUAUGUGGUAGGAGUUAUGCUAUAGCUAGUAGUAUAAACAAAAUUUUGGAACAGAGCUUUUAGUAUUGUCUCUCUUUAGCAACAAACAAUCUUUAAGGGGAAUGUAUAUUGUUAAAGACAGAAAGGGAAAGUAGGACAAUGAAUAUAUGUGAUAAUUGCAAAAGGUGAGGUAUAUAUAUUUAUAUAUAGUAGUAACUAUGAAGAGGUAGGAAUUCUGACGUAUAAAUUGGUGGUAUACUUUAAACUAAGUAGCAGCAGCUUCCACGAAGCAUCUUGGAAAUAAACAUGAAUACGAGAAGCUAGCAUUAAGAGGAAUUACACGUAUAUGCAUACAUAUACAUAUGAAUAAAGAUAACAGUGAAUUACCAAUCUGCCAUUAAGAAAAGAGCAUGCUUCUUUAAUAAAAGUGAAUGUCUCUAUCGUUAAGACCUCCUGUCUGUUUUGUUCUAUUUAUGGAUGGAUGGUUUCAUUAUUUAUUUGUACAAAUCAUUCAUUCCUAAUUCCUAGUUUAAGUAUGGUUUCUGACUUUAUGUGUCAUUAUAUAUUGCUUAUUUUAUUUUUCCUUCUGAUUUUUUGUUUAUUCCAAGAUUGGAGAAUAUUGCAGUGUACAUGAACCGUUAACUAUGUUUGGCCAUAGCAUAUACCGUAUAUAAUUAAUUGUAAUUUGGUCCACUGGGUUCAAAUCCGAGUCACCACAUUUCACCGUAUCCAUGUGUGUAUUUAUUUGAGUAUAUGUUAGCCAUUAGGUCAAUCGCAAAAAAAUAAAAAAUACAACUAACUGCGUGUUUAUCUGUUAGUUUGAAUUGUUACUAUUUACAGCAUCAUAAAGGCACUAACGAAUGAGUGAAAAAAAAUGAGAGAAGAAACGAUAAAACCUGUUUGUUCUCUUAAUUCAGGUGGUACUUGGAAAGCUAUGUAACAAUAAAGCAAGAAAAGACAUCAAAGACAAGUAAACAUUCCAAGAAUAAAGAAACCUUACUAACUACGACCCCCACUUUCCUCAACCAUCAAUCCUUUUAAACUCUUGGCCAACCAAAUAGCUGUCUCCCUUGAGGAGACCUUAUCUUUUCCAAAGGGCUUCAGAACAACCGCAAGUUCCUCCAAUCUAUUUUGCUGCAGCAAAUCUGCAGACAAUUCUAACAGCCCUUCAAGUGCAUCAGCUCUCUGUUUGGAAGAUUUAACAUCAAAAGAUUCAUUUCCUGGCAUUUCCUCUUUGGCUGUAGGAAUGCUAUAUUUGUUAUAUUUAGCGGAACCAGGUUCUGAAACUAGAGAAUCAGGGAUUCUCACAUCUAGCACUUCAACAUCAGGAUGUUCAGAAAUACUUGACUUCAAGCUCAAGUUUCUGAUUUCCAAAUUAUCAGUAGUAUUUGAGUUCAAGCUAGUAACUUCAGAGCAAUUUGAAGAUUUAAGGGACAAAGGAGUUCCCACAUUUCUCAUUUCUAAAUCAUCCUUUACAACGUUGAUGAGUGUACCAACAUCUACAUUUGUAACUCCCUUCUCCGUUGAUUCCUUUACCGGAAGAUCACUCCCCACCCGGUAACUGCUAUGGCGUAUAACAUGGAUGACAUCAUCAAAAGCUGGGGGAAGAUGGCCAGAAGCAGGCCUUUCUGUUGCUAGAUUCUGUAAAACCAUUCCCUUCUCUUCUUCUAAAACUUUCUGGCUUGAAAUUUUAGUAGAUAUAUUCAGAGGUGCAAUUUCAGCCACUGAGGACACUCUUUCCCUCACCAUGAACUUGUCAUCACCAGUUGAGAUGUACAUAAGCUUUGGCUGGCUAACUUUAUGAGGCCUAUUAUUUGGCAAGCUUACUGGACUAACUUCACAAACAGACUUUUUUCCAGAAAUGGAAAGUGAAUGUUUGAGAGAAUUGAUUGAAGCCAUUUCCUUACAAAUAUCUUGAAGGUUUUUGAUUUCUUGUGUGACUUUGGCAGACGGAACAUCACACUCAACGACAUCAGAUGUAGUUGUUUGAUUUAUAAGAAAACUAUCAUACAUUACUGAGUGAUCCAGAGUUAACCUGGGACUUACUUUCUCAUUACGAGUAAUGGUAUUCUGAAAAGUUGGUGUAAACUGAGAGGAUUCACCAGAAAUAUUUUCAUCAGGACCACCACUGUUGGCACGUGAUCCCACAAUUUCAGUGUGAUUAAAACUCCCAUGUUCAGGGGGUGUUGGUUCACUCAAGUCAAUAAAAGUGUUUGCAAAGUCAAAAAGUUCAAAUCCUUGAAUAGAGACUGAAGAUGAAACAGAGUUGCUGGUUGCUUGCAUUCCUUUGGUACUACUUUCAAAAGCCUUCAAAGGCUCUUUAGAAACAUGUGGCAGAUGACCGUUAGGCAACCGAUGAUGUCCCAUCUUAGCCUCCUGACCUAUUUUAUUUGGAUCUAACCUUUCUGUAUCAUUUGCUGCAUUUGGCAUAUCAUGCCCGGCUUGCUUUAUGCGUCCCAGAAAUGAGGGUGGCUUAAGUAGGCUUGGAGGAGUCUUUUGUUUUGGCCUUGCAGAAACUCCAGGUACUGCUACUACUUGUUUGAUAGGACCACAUGGUGGUGUCACCUUAUGUCGAGGUUUAGUUUUUGGUGUAGAUUCUAUCAUCGGUAACUGCUGUCAUGGAUAAAUAUACAAGAAAUAAGUUUCAGUGUCAUAGGGAGAUCAUUAUAGGUAACAAAUAUAUCAUUCUAAUGGUAAUGUACCUGAUAUUUUGAAGUAUGUGAUCCCUGGAUUCGUUUUGAAGAAUGAAGGGUUGCUUUUGAAGGUGCUAAGGUUGGCACCUCUACAUUAGGCUUCAAACCAUUUACACCAAAAUCGGAUUUCGGAAAUUUAGACAAGGUUUCUGUAUUAAUUUUCUGUGUUGAUAUACCACCAGCCUUCAUCAGACUUUCUCUCAUUGGAGACCUCGUCUCUUUAACCUUUUCAUGUUUUGGUCCCAUCUUUACAUUCUUAACUGUUCUUGCUAGCUUAUAUCCAACAUUAGAAUUGUGUUCAAGGUGAGUUUGCUUCCUAACCUCCUGUUUAUCUGUUUUGGCGUUGACAUUGCUAGAGCUGUUUCUUUCUCUACCGGGCAUGAUAAGGUCAGACCCAUUAUCAUCGAUCAUUGACAGGUCUACCUCAGUGAUUUUUUCAUCGCCCAUUGGUGCUGCUUUUGAAACGUUUCUCUUAUUUGACAUCAAACCACCUUUGUCACUACUCGAACUAUUACUUUCUUCACUUUCUGCCAUGUUUUUUCGAGGAACAUGGACAGCAAAAAUUGGCUUUUCAGGAGAAGAGGCUGAUGGAGAACAGAGAGAUGAACAAUAUUGAUGAACAUAAGGCUGCAAAUAAGGGUGCUUUAAGAUAUCGGAUGCCUGUGUAAUACAUAAAUGAAAGUUUUCAGGAUAUGUACCGAUGGGAAACUUGUUUCACAAUGAAAAUAAUGUUGGUCUUUAAGAGAGACUUACUGUUGGACGAUGCUCGGGGUUUUUCCUUAACAUGCCUUUUAUCAGUGUUUUCCUGUGUGUAUGGAUGUAAAGUUUAAGAUUACAUACAUGCACAGAGAGGAAAGUAAAAAGAUUUUUUUUUUAUGUGGCUCUGAUAGUUAUCAACUUCAUGUUCAUUGAUGAUGCUUACCGGACACCAAUGACAUUUCUUACAGUAAACAAAAUUUGAAGUGGUGCAACAAAUGCAGUGUCUAACUGUGCCAUAAAGUUCACCCACACAAACACGUGCGUCUAUACUAGUAACUGUAUAUCUUUCUGCCAUACCUAUUUGACUUCAACGGGUAGUCUGAACUCAAGUGAUUACUAACUUUCUAUUAACAAAUGAUAUUGGAUGAUAAGCAUAGAAAAAAUAGAAACUUACAAGGAUGGAGAAUAACAGGGAGGCAAAGUACCAAUAGAGGAACGGUUGAUCUUGCUUAUCAAUCCAUCCAAAUCCUGAAACAGUACCAUUUUUAUCAAGAAAAAGGAACCAUGAUAAGAUACCUCCACAUACAUAAAUAUCCAUACAAUAGUAGAGAAUCACAAAAACUUUCAUUAUGUACUGAUGGAAAAUCAAUCACAAAGCAUUACAAACUGAAAAUCACCAAGCAACUCUAUUAAAAAAGUUCUGAAAAUGGAAGCAAACUUAAUGUUAAACAGUACCCCCACCCUUAACGAACAGCAUUUAAGUCUAUUUACAAAGCCAACAAAAAUUUAGAACUCGGUCAUAGAUAUCAGAAUAACAGCCAAAAAAUAGGUCAGAAUAAGGAUUCUGGAAAGUGGUAGGUUGGUAUAAUUCUGAAAGCUGGUAGCUUUGCAAAAUACUGCAUUAAUCUGAAUAGCAACCUAAUUCAAUUAUGCCUAAAUUUUCUAGUUUUAUUCCUUUCGACCAUUUACACAAACGGAUACCAUGUCUUUUUUUCUGGACAAAAUCUUAAAUUUGCUUAUUUUGGAUCCUGAAAUGAGAUAUCGCUUUCAGAUUUAACUUGGGAAUAACAUUAGCAACAACAACAACAACCAAGUCUUAUCCCACUACGUGGAGUCGACUACGUGGUCAAAUUGCGCCCUAAAGAUUACCAUAAAAAGAAUUCACUAAAGAUUACAGUAUAUCCAUAUAAAGUUAAAAAAUAUCGGAACUCUUAAUAUAACAAGGUUAUAUAAUUUUAUUUAUGCAAAUUAAUACCUUACCUAUUCUGUUGCAUGCAAAUGCUACUUUACUGACUUAAACGAAGAAAUGAGAUAUAUUCAUAUAUGACUUGCUGGUAGUGCAUUAAAUGAAUGACUAUACUAUGGCAUAUCUGUUCUUAUCAGUAUAUUAUGGCAUAUCUAUAACUAUUAAGUAUCAAGUGAAAAUCGAGGAAAUCUUACAAAAGCUUUGAAAGCAGGGCGGUGAGCAGCCAUCUCAUAUAUACAACACCCUGAACAACAAAAAGGUAUUUAUACUGUAUCAAAACCGAUAUCAGAUAGUCGUCGAAAAAUAAAAAAUUACCUAGUGACCAAAUAUCAGAUUUGAAUCCAUAAGGAAUAUCUGUAAGCAGUUCAGGGCACAUAUAGUUCGGAGUUCCUACAACCUGUGUACAAAUAUUUAGAACAAUUAGCCAAUUCCACAACCAGUGACUGUACUCUAUCCAAUAAAUGAAUACUAAUUAUAUAGCUUAACAAGAUGGUUCAAUUGUCAUAUUAUCAACUUCAAGUAGCUCAAAAUUAUUAAAAGUUGGAUUCGAUCCUUACAAAAUAUGAGCAAUAAUGAAAACAAAAAUUACAUAAUUAGAUAUUCUUCUAGCAGAAUCAGAUCUAAGUAGAAACUAUAAACUUCUUAUUACGAGCUUUCCCGUUCUAGAAUAUUCUCCACCCCAUAGACACAAGUUAUAGGUGCCAAAUACAUCCCUUAUUAAAUUAACAUACACCUACUAUCAAUAUAUAACUUAAGACGGUUUUAAGUGUUGCUGUGAUCAACCCAAAAGAGAGAAAAUAUAUUCGUAGGAUAAAAAAUGUAAAAAUAAUGGAAACAGUGGAAGCAUUUGAAAAUAUUUAGUUACAAGUAGAGGAAGUUAUUAGAAGGAUUUCAACGCUAUGUAUUAGUCUUUUGCUCAGGUAUAAUUGUUUAAAACAAAAUUUUAUACUUUUUGUAUUGAAAAAAUAACUGAUUAGGCUUAGUUCUUUUCGGCAGCUACAACAUAGAUACCGUUUUGGUCUAAAAUUAGAUGUUGUGCUGAGAGUCCAGAUUUAAUAGCAGAGCAGUAACAAUAAAAUGAGCAACAAGGUGUGCAGGAACAUUUCAUCCGGACAAUAUGAAGAUUGAAAACCCUAAACUCAUCAUAACUCUGCUUCGGCUCUUCUCUCCAAAAGGUGUUAGCAAUUAGGAUGCAUCAAUAGAUUCAAUACUAAGGAAAAUUAUCAGAACAAAUUUAGCUUGAACCCUUGGAUUCAUAGAAGAAGCAACAAGCUUAUAAAAAAAUAUAAAAGAAGAAAGCAACAAGUUCCUUAUUUCAUACGUACCGAGGAAGUCAAAUCAUCAGCUUUUAGUGUCUUAGCAAGCCCAAAAUCCCCUAUAUAAAUAUCAGGAAAUUACAAACAAAUUAAGGAUGAAGAAUUAAUCAAUCAUAUUAACUCAAAUGUAAUAAAAAAUGGUGUAUGAACUGACCUAAGCGAACAUCAUGAUCCUUGGUGAGAAAGAUGUUAGAACACUGUCAUCAAAGUUUGACAAAAUUUAACUUGGUAUACUCAUAAGUGGAAUUAAAAAAGUAUAAAAGGCCAUGCAGUUUCUUUAUCCAUGUAAUACCUUUAGGUCACGGUGCAAAACAAAAUUUGAAUGCAGGUAUUCUACUGCCAACAAUAAUUGAGUAACCCAUUUGCAAAGUUUCUGACCAAUGUCAAACACUAUCAACAUGAGCAAGCAAAAUAUUUAACAAAUAUACAAAAUUUAAGAAAGUCAAAGUAUAAACAAGAAUACCUCUUCAGGAAAGUAAGCCCCAUUCGAUUUUUUCAUCAAUGCUGCUCUGAAAAGAUUUGAAGAGAAAACGAACAUAAAGAAUUUUAAACAAUUGAGUUUUUGGGCUCAUAAAAUUUUACAUGGUACUGCGUUAGUACAGGUAUUAUCCGAAGACUCACAUGUCUCCACCUUCACAGUAUCCAGUAACAAUGCAAACAUAGCAACCCUACAAUAAAAGUAAAACAAUCAAAAACUUAGAUGAAAAGGAAUCAAACAAUCACAAACUUACCAUACAAACUAUUUCUAGAUUACAACAGAGAGAGCACAACACAAAAAUAACAUAACAAAUUGUGAAAGUGUGCUAGAACAAGCUAAUGAUACGCAUGAUUUUGAUGGUUUUGAAUUAAAUUGAUUCGAUUAAAAUUGAGGUUUUUUUUUUUGACGGAAAAAAAAAAUUGUGUUUCAAUAUUUUUACUAUGAAAGCUAAAACUUAGACGAAUUUCUUAGUUCAAUGCAAUAACUUCUUUUAUUACUCUUAAUCAAACUGAACUUUGGAUGGAAAACAAUUUUGACUUGCAAUGAAACACUUGAAUGUUAACUAAAAUUUAACAUAAUUUUAACAAUCAAUUUUGACUUGCUACCAAACAGUUGUAUCGAUCAAACUGAAGUUUGGAAACAAAAUGUUGUAUGUUUUAUAUUCCUCCGUUUCAUAUUGUGUUUUAAAGGUAAUAUACACUCUCUAAGAAAAGCAUCGAGUUUUACUCAUUUUUAUGAUAAAAUAACCUUUAUUUACCAAAAUUAUGCUUAUUAUUAAUAGUUGUUGGUUUUAGGUAAAAUGAGAUAUUAGGUAAAAAUAGUUAAUAAUUCAUUGUUAAUUUAAGAAGAAAAUUAAUAUGAGACAAGCAAAUACAGUAAUAUAACUUUCCCCAAUUAUAAACAGCUUUUAAAACGGAAAACAAAUAUUUGUCUCUUAGUCUCAUUUCAAAUUACUAAAUAUAGACCCUAAAAUCCAUCUUUACAUAUCUAAUGUAAAAGCAAAAAGUCAACCACCUUUCACAAUCCAAUAUGAAAACAAAGAUACACACAUAAAGUCAAGGAUCUAGUGGUGUAUCUCACCUUCUCAACCCAAGCCUCCUUGAAUUCAACAAUGUAAGGAUGCUUAAUUCUCGCAAUUAGAGCCAUCUACAAAUACAAUUCCCAAAAUCAACUACACCACUUCAUAUUAUCAAACAACAAACAAGAUAAACAAGCUAUGAAGCACAAACACCAAUCACUAAAGACACUCACACAUCAUCACAUAUAAUAAUUUGAGAAAAUAACAUAAUUUCAAUAUAAUUACACAGUGUCAUAGACAAACACAUCACAUCACCGACACGUGUCAGACACCGAAUACACAUUUGAUUAGAAGUGUAAGUGAUAGUAAGCAAGAAACUAACAAAACAAAAUCCAAUUACUACCUCUUGAUGAGCAGAUCUUCUACACCGUUCCGUUUGCCUAGCAAGCCUAAUUUUCUUCAACACAUAUCUACAACAACAAAUUUAACAUAAACAAAGCUUCAAUUCUCAAAUUCAAAUAAAAAACUUAACAUAAAACACAAAUGGCGCGAACACAUUACCUUUUCUUCUCCACCUUGUGAUUAACGAGAAUUGCAGCACCAAAUGCACCGCGACCGAUCUGCUCCAUGAUCUCAUACUGAUCCAUCUUAAACACCAAUGCAAAACACGAAAAUGUAGAUAUCAAACGCAAUUUGAAUUUCAACGAAAUUUCAAUUGAAUUUCAAAGCAUUGUAACGGUUUUCGUUUUCUUCUUCUACUACAUUGUUUUUGAAAGAAACCGUUUGAGAAAUGAAUGAACGUUUUGUGGUUAUACUCAACUGUUUCUCACUUUCACGCUGGCAAUGAUGAUUAAUUAUGUUGGUUGUGGUAAAAGUGAUAGUGUAAACAGUGUGAUUAAUUUGUGGAGUAAUUGCGUUGAUUACGGUUUGAUAUUUUUGAAUUCGAGAAGAAGAAGUGGUUUCUCUCUCUAAGAUGAAGAGAGAGAAAGUAAGAGGGAAAUGGUUUAUUUAUGGUUAGAGGGGGAUACACCGACAGCUGGUCUUUCAACUGCCUCUCACCUUUCAAUUUUCGGUAUUUAUUAUUGGAUUUUUCUAUCAUGUUAAGAAGUUUAAAAUAAAAAUUUUGUAUUAAAACUUGUACAUUUAAUAUUAAAUAUAAAACUUUUGAAUAAAUAAAUGUUGUUUUCCAAAAAAAAGUUACUACUAUUAGUUAUUUUAACAUGAGCAAUGUUGCACAUGUUAGACAAACCCUUUAUUAUUUUGAUUUUCUUUCAUUUUCACGUUUACUUAACUUUUUGAUAAAUCAAAACUAUAGUAGUAAUUCAUUUAAAAAAAAUUCUUACAAUAAUUUUUUUUCAAGUAACCUGGCAGACAUAAAAUGUGGAGAAGUUGAGUGUUUGAAGUUCAAACUUCAACAUUUACAUAUAUUAUGCAACGUCUUUAUCAAUUAAAUUAAACUUACGCAAGAGUCCAACAAAUAUUUUUUCUUACACGCAGCUAUCAAAUUGUUAACUUUAAAAUUCUCUACUUCACACAUGGUAGAUAUUUGGAUUUUGGACCACUAAUCAUUUCGUCAAUCUUUAAUCAAAGUAUAUAAAAAAAUAUGAGAAAUGUUAACCAGUGCUCCGAGACACUAGUUAAAGAAACAAAUAUAGUAAUAUUUGCAUGGAAAGUUGUGUAAUCAAUGCAUUCAAAACUUAAAAAGUGUCUUUUUUAAUUUACAAUUUCCUCUUUUGGCUUCCUUAACCAGUGUCUCUGGGGCACCGGUGGUUAACAUAACCCAACAAAUAUUUAUCAGAAGAAAUUAGUUCCUUAACUGUAUCUUUAUUAAAAUAAAAUCAUUUAAUGAAUCUCAUAUAAUUAGUCUCUCUUUUUUGUUACAAGGCUAAAGGAAAAAUAAAGAACAAUAAUGUUGAUUAAAUUAUGAUUAAAAUGUCUAUUAAUGGUGAUUUUAAAUUAGUGUAUAUCUAGUACUGUUAAUCACGGAAAUGAAACAUGUCAAUUAUGAGUAGGAAGUUAGAAGGACAAUAAUGUUCUGUUUUCUUGUGAUUUUAGAAUUAGAAGGAAAAUAAGAGUCGGAACUAUAAUAAAGCCAGCUCGAAAGUAACUUUAGGGUGUACUCGGUUGAGUAAAGAGAGUGAUAAGUGGGAAAAUCGUGAGAACGAUUAUGAAAAGUGAUUUUUUUAAGGGUAUUGUUUGAUUAGAUAAAAAGUGUGAAGAGGAAAGGGAAAUAUUAUUACGUUUGAAAUGAAAAAUAAUCGUAAUUAAGAAAAUUUAUAUAAAGUCAUUUUAGUUUUAGGCAAAAUUAUAAAUUUGAUCUCUUAAUUUUUUUCUUUCUUUUAAUAACCCAAAAUAGAACUAGAUUAAACAGAACAUUAUUGUCGCAGAUUUAUGUAGAUGAUAUAUUCGAUGGAGUUAGUGAAAAAACUGUCGGUCUUGAUGAUUUAUUAGAUAAGAUCGGUGGAUUGCAUGCACCAAGCGCUAAAAGUUCCAUUAAAAAAAAAAAUAGCAUGAUUUUGAUGACUUCAUGAUUGGGUUUGGUGGAAGCAGCAUAUCCAAUAAUGGGAAAGCAACCAUUGAGAAGAAUAAUCCUCGGAAACCAACUGCCAUAUCUCAUAAUGGCCGUUUUUAGUAUUGGAAAGCACAACAUCUUCAAAAUCAUUCCUGGACUCAUUAGAGCAAAUCACUAAGAAUGGUUCUAAACAUACAAGUGGCAGCUCAACACCUCCCCAUUAUCGAGGCCUUCUCCCAAGCCAACGAAUGUUUCAAACUCAAUCAACAGCUCAAGUUUAUCAUCAUCAAUAGAUGAGGUUGAGAACUUUGCCAAGGGCCGAGUGUAGAGUAAUCCUAAUAGAAAAGCAAAUGGCAUAACAUGUGUGCAAGAAAUCAAUUCAGCAAACCAAAUAUUCAACAACAAAUUGAAAGGUCUUGUUAAGUUAUCUACCAAUAGUGCACCGAGAUAUUAAACCAAAGAACAUACUUGUGGUUGUGGAUGACAAUAUGGAGCCUAUUACAGCUGAUUUUGGCACUGCACUAUGCAAGAAGAAGUUUGAGGAUUCUGAUUAAUUUCAUAGGUUCCAUAAUCACUAUUUCUCGUGUAUCAUAGGUUCCAUAAAUUUCAAUCAAUAGGAUCUAAGAGGGUGGUCUAUCAUUCAUUCGAAGAGUCAUCAUGCAUGGAAGCACUUUUAUCAGAACAAAAACUCGGAGUCGAGUUCUUCAUAGAUGGAGGAGACUCACGUAGGAGGGUUUCCUUAGUAAUUUAUUAGUAUUUUAUUGUUUAAGUUUAUAUUUAUUAUUUGUUUGUUUUAUUUUCAGUUUGUUAUUUUUAGGCCCAUCAGGGUUUGUUAUUUUCCUUUUUUUUUUUGGUGGUCGGGGUUUAAACCUUAGACCUUGCAUAUACUAUCCAUUGUCCAUACCAACUGAGUUAAGCUCACGAGGAGGACUAUUAUUUUCCUAUUUAAGCUUAAACAGAUGUAGCCUAAGAGGCAUAACUUUUAUUCAAUCAAUAAUAUUUUAGAGAGUUUUUUCUUAAUUUCUGGUGGAUUCCGGAACCUUAUUUUUACAAUUUUGUCGCUUGCAAACUAAAUCUUUUUUAAUAUAGGUUUAACGCAUGCUAGCCUACGCUCGAUUUAGAGUGAGUUUGUUUGAACUUAAAAAAAAACAACUUAUGUUAAAACAAUAUCUAUAGAUUUUUUUGUUGAAAUUUAAAAAAAAAAAAAUUAAACUAUUUAUGUUUGCAUCUAUAAAAAAAAAAAAACUUUUUUCCUACCGAAUUAUCCCUCUUAAUAGAUACAACCCGGCCACAACACCCAAACUUGUUCCGUUUGCAGAGUGUUUUUGCAGUAUUUCAAAAGCCACUGUCAAAUACAAUGAUCAAUCAAAAUAGAAUAUAGAAUCCUUAAAAAAUUUGAACAACUCUCAUAACAUAAAUUCCUUUGUUUCAACCUAUUAGGGGUUUGGUUUAUUAACGUCAUGGCCAAACCUCAUGAACUCAAACCAUUAUACGCAACACUUCUCAACAAAUGUUUUUCCUCGAAAAACAUAAACAGCCUCAAAAUAAUCCAUGCACGCACAAUUCGUUUAGGUAUUUCACACGAUGAUUUCAUUCGAACCAAACUUGUUUCUUGCUAUGCUUCAUGUUCCAAAUUGCACCAAGCAAAUAUUCUUUUUUCAUUCACAAAUCGCAAACCCACUUUCCUCUACAACUCUCUCAUUAGAGCCUAUUUAUCUCUCAACCUAUUUAAAGAAACGCUUUCGAUAUUUCGUGAAAUGAGGUUGUCUUAUAAACCCUUUGAUUGCCACACUUUGCCGCUUGUGCUAAAAUCUUGCGCUGGUUUAUCGGCGUUAAGGCUUGGGAAACAAGUUCAUGGAGCUGUUUUGGUAAAUGGGUUUGCGUUAGAUUUGAAAAAUUCUAAUGCUUUGAUAAACAUGUAUGCUAAAUGCGGGGAGUUAGAGUUUGCGCGCAAAGUGUUUGAUGGAAUGUGUGAAAGGAAUGAGGUUACUUGGUCGACGAUGAUGGCGGGUUAUGGAAUGCAUGGUAGGUUUGAAGAGGUUUUUGAGAUGUUUAAUAGAAUGGUGGAAGUAGGAGAGAGGAUGGAUAAUGUGAGUUUUACGGUUGUUUUGACUGCGUGUAGUCAUGGCGGGUUUGUCGAGAAAGGGAGGGAGAUUUUUGAGAUGAUGAAGGUGAGGUUUGGGGUGAAACCUGAUGUGAGGCAUUAUACAUGUAUGGUGGAUAUGUUGGGGAGGGUUGGUUUAGUGGAAGAAGCAGAGAAGUUGACAUUGAAAAUGGAUGUCAGGCCUGAUGAAGCUUUGGUGGGUGCUUUGUUUGGAGCUUGUAAAACUCAUGGGAGGGUUGAUGUUGCUGAGAGAGUUGCAGAGAGGUUUUAUGGGACAGAGCUGAGUGUUGUUGCAUCCUCAAUUUGAAUUCAAUAUACAUGAUGUUUUCUCAUAACAAGACAAGGCUAUAUAUAGACUAUAGUUCAUUCUUUUAUAUCUUUCUAGCAUAUGGGACCUAUCUCAUCAUGGGUGCUAGAAAACCAACCGAGGUUUUAAUUUCCCUAUAGCUACAUGUAAAUGAGAUGAUAACUGUUGGUGUAAAAUUUUUCUCUUUCAAUAUCAACUGCAUCAUUUAUUUAAGAAUAUAGUUUUGUUACUUUAGUUCUUAUUUAACAAAUUGUAAAUUCCAACAUAGUAAUAAAGAUCUAGAGAUUAAUGAGUUAGAUCAAAAUAUAGUUUAUGAUAGAACACUAUAAUGUAAUUUGAUCCGUGUAACUGACUCCAUUUUGUGGGUAAGACUUGGUUUUUGUUAUUGUAUUCCAGCAUAAUACAUUUACCACUUUAAAGUUUAGACAAGGAACAUCAUUAACAUGUUGCAAUCAGUCAUAAACAUAGUCUACUGAGAUAGAAGAAAAGGAUUGGGAGAGGAAAGAAAAUAGAAAAAUCGAAAAACGGAGGGAGAAAAAAUGAAAAUUUGAGAUAAGCAAAUAAUCAAACACACACGCCAGUAUACAUAAAUAGAAAUCUAGAUAGAGACAUUGUCGCUUGUAACAUGGAUAAGCAAACUGUGUUUUUUUUUUAACAGUAUGAUUUUUCUACAUAAUUCAUAUAAGAUGCAAUAAAAAUUGACUAUAUACCUUUUGCUACAUAACAUGAGGAAAAGUUUAGGUUUUAAUGUUUUUAAUUGGUACAUUUCAGGUCUAGUGAAUGAGUUAUGUAACUGUGCACUCAGUCACAAAAUUCAAUCAUCAACAUCAGAUUCUUUUCCAGAGAAAUCAGGAACAUAGCCAUAUAAGUGCAGCUCAAAAGACAAAAGCUCCAAGGCUGAGUAAAUAUAAUCAUUCUCUUCAUGAUAUUUAUCACCGGACACAAAUUUAUGAAUGCCGGAAUCAAUCUCAAUGGAACUAAAAGCUAGAUUCUUUUGUAAGCCACGUUCUUUCAUUUCCCUCCUAACCUUGCUCGCACCAUCCCAUUUUCCAACAGCAGCAUAUAUGUUAGAAAAAAGCACAUAAUUUGAAUCUCCACCAGGGUACAAUUCAACUUGAUACUUCAUCACUUUUUCAGCCAAUUCAACAUCCCCUUGAGUCCUACAAGCUGCAAGCAAUGACCCGAGCACCACUUCAUUAGGCAUCAUAGGCAUUUUUUUUAUCACAUCCCAAGCCUCCUUCAACCUCCCUGCUCUACUAUAGAGAUCCACUAAGCAACCAUAAUGCUCAAUCCUCGGCGAAUUUCUAUGAUCUCUUUUAAUGUCAGCAAAGAUUUUCAGUCCUUCGUCAAUCAACCCAGCAUGACUGCACGCUGUGAGUGCACUCGUGUAACUAACUCCAUUCGGCUCUAACCCUUCCUUCUUCAUUGAACGAAAGAAACUCAAAGCCUUGUCAGCAAGCCCAUUAACCGCAAAACCAACAAUGAUCGAAUUCCACGACACCAAAUUUCGCUGACUCAUUCCAUCAAACACUUGACGAGCAAGCUCUAUACACCCACAUCGCGCAUACAUAUCUAUUAAAGAAUUCAAAACUUUAACAUUAUCCCUAAACUCUUUCUUCAUCACAAGUCUAUGAACCCACAAGCCAAGACCAAGUGCACCCAAAUUAGCACACGCGGAAAUAAUCGCAAUAACAGUCACAAAAUCUGGCACAACACCAGCCAGCUGCAUUUCUCGAAAACACUCAAGAGCUUCUUCAUAACACUCUUUCUUAACAAACCCACCAAUAACCACAGUCCAAGAAACAACAUUCUUCACAGGCAAUUUAUCAAACAGUUUAAGUGCAUCAUCAACAUCACCAUUUUUCAUAUACCCAUCAAUCAUAGUAUUCCAAGAAACCAAAUUUCUAACACCCAUUUGAUCAAAAACCAAUCUAGCAUAAUCCAAUUUCCCACAUUUGGCAUACAUGUCAAUCAAUGCAGUACCCACCAUCACAUCAUUCAUGGCAAAGCCAUGUUUGAAAGCGUGUGUGUGUAAUGCAGCUCCAAAGGUGAUGCUGGUUUUGGAGGGAGAGUGGGCACAAGCAGAGAGGAGAGUGAUGAGGGUGAUGUGAUUGGGUUCGACUUCGGCUUCGAGCAUUUGGAUGAAUUCGGAAGCUGCUUUGAGGAAAUUGUUAUUUUUGCAGUGGUGAGAAAUUGAGGAUGUCCAUGAUACGGUUUGGUUUGAGUUGGGUUUGUGUUUUAGAGAGAGUGUUUGGUUUUUGUUGGGGUUGUUUGGGGGAGAAAAUGUAGAGGGAGGGUGAAUUUGUGGAGGUUGUUUUGGAGGGUCAGGGUGGUGUGUUGGGGUUGCAAUGCACGUAGUAAGGAUCAUUCUUCUCUCAAUCGUGGUGGUAACUGAUUUUUGGUUGAGUACCUAUAUCAAAGUUGCUCAAAUUGCUCUGGACACAUAUGAUAUAGCCGAAAAACACUCUUUGGUGUGUUGGGGUUUUCGUUUUCUUCUUCUGCUACCAGUGGCGGAGCCAGACAAAAAAAAUUGAGAUGGCCGUCAGCAAAAAAAUUCUCACACAUUCAUUUGUUCAAGUUUUUUUUUUUCCAUUCCUAAAGCAGAGCAAUAAAAGGAACAAAACACAAACAGCAGAGCAAUAAACAAAAUAAAUCCUAUAAAGCUCCAAAAGAAACAGGACUGCAACACAAUAGCAGAAACACACUUCAGCCAACACCAAACCUACUAGGCAGCCACACAGUUACCAGCAUAUAUCAGACAAGCAGAAACACGCUAUAGCCAGCAGUAAACCUUCUUAACAGCUGCUCACAACACCCAGCAGCAAAUAUCAUCGGCCUUUCUCUUAAAAAAUGAAUAGAUUUUUUUAUUUUUCAUCUUGACUUUUAUACAGUUGACAAUGCUACUGCCAAUGAGAAACAAAUAUCAGUACAUGAGAAACAUAAACACCCAAUGACACAAAUCUACAAUUGAUAUAAAAAUAGUGUUAAGACUCAUAAUGAAACAAAUAUACAAUUGACAAUGUUACUCCCAAUGUGAAACAAAACAGCAACAACAUACACACCCAAUGACCCAAAUAUCACUACAGCAAGCAGCAACAUACACACCCAAUGACACAAAUAUCAGUACAGCAAUAAGAUACACACCAAAUCCACUAAACAAAUAUCAGUAAAGCAGUUGAAAAUUGAAUUAGGUAAGCAGUAUUAUUAACAAAAUCAAAAAUCCCCUUUUGUUUUGAUUAGGGUUAUGGGAAAAUUGAAGUUGAAAAUCAAAUUCAUCAACAAACAAAAGGAGAUUGAAGCAGUAUCGUUACUAAACAAAUGAAGAAUCAGAGAUCCUACACUUACAGUUUUUUAACAGUUUUAGGGUUUGUGGAGAGAUUGAGACAAAUGAAGAUUCAGAGUCAGAGAACGAUACAGAGAGAAGAGAUGGUGGCGAUGAGUUCGACGGAGGUCGCCGGUCGGGGCCUGAUUGCCGGUGAGUGAGGUAGAGGAGAUGGAGGUUCCCGGUCGCAGACUCGCGAGAGAGAAAUGGAAAGGAUACGCUUCUUUUCGUUAUGAGAAAAAAGGAAUGUGUGAAUGGCAUAGCUGUAAUAUUCAAAUUAGCUUAAGGGUAUUAUGGUAAUUUCACAAAAUUAAUGGGCAGGACAUCGCCAUACCCAGUCCUCACGUGGCUCCGCCACUGUCUACUACAUUGCUUUUGAAAGAAACCGUUUGAGAAAUGAAUGAACGUUUUGUGGUUAUACUCAACUGUUUCUCACUUUCACGCUGGCAAUGAUGAUUAAUUAUGUUGGUUGUGGUAAAAGUGAUAGUGUAAACAGUGUGAUUAAUUUGUGGAGUAAUUGCGUUGAUUACGGUUUGAUAUUUUUGAAUUCGAGAAGAAGAAGUGGUUUCUCUCUCUAAGAUGAAGAGAGAGAAAGUAAGAGGGAAAUGGUUUAUUUAUGGUUAGAGGGGGAUACACCGACAGCUGGUCUUUCAACUGCCUCUCACCUUUCAAUUUUCGGUAUUUAUUAUUGGAUUUUUCUAUCAUGUUAAGAAGUUUAAAAUAAAAAUUUUGUAUUAAAACUUGUACAUUUAAUAUUAAAUAUAAAACUUUUGAAUAAAUAAAUGUUGUUUUCCAAAAAAAAGUUACUACUAUUAGUUAUUUUAACAUGAGCAAUGUUGCACAUGUUAGACAAACCCUUUAUUAUUUUGAUUUUCUUUCAUUUUCACGUUUACUUAACUUUUUGAUAAAUCAAAACUAUAGUAGUAAUUCAUUUAAAAAAAAUUCUUACAAUAAUAUUUUUUCAAGUAACCUGGCGGACAUAAAAUGUGGAGAAGUUGAGUGUUUGAAGUUCAAACUUCAACAUUUACAUAUAUUAUGCAACGUCUUUAUCAAUUAAAUUAAACUUACGCAAGAGUCCAACAAAUAUUUUUUCUUACACGCAGCUAUCAAAUUGUUAACUUUAAAAUUCUCUACUUCACACAUGGUAGAUAUUUGGAUUUUGGACCACUAAUCAUUUCGUCAAUCUUUAAUCAAAGUAUAUAAAAAAAUAUGAGAAAUGUUAACCAGUGCUCCGUGACACUAGUUAAAGAAACAAAUAUAGUAAUAUUUGCAUGGAAAGUUGUGUAAUCAAUGCAUUCAAAACUUAAAAAGUGUCUUUUUUAAUUUACAAUUUCCUCUUUUGGCUUCCUUAACCAGUGUCUCUGGGGCACCGGUGGUUAACAUAACCCAACAAAUAUUUAUCAGAAGAAAUUAGUUCCUUAACUGUAUCUUUAUUAAAAUAAAAUCAUUUAAUGAAUCUCAUAUAAUUAGUCUCUCUUUUUUGUUACAAGGCUAAAGGAAAAAUAAAGAACAAUAAUGUUGAUUAAAUUAUGAUUAAAAUGUCUAUUAAUGGUGAUUUUAAAUUAGUGUAUAUCUAUACUGUUAAUCACGGAAAUGAAACAUGUCAAUUAUGAGUAGGAAGUUAGAAGGACAAUAAUGUUCUGUUUUCUUGUGAUUUUAGAAUUAGAAGGAAAAUAAGAGUCGGAAUUAUAAUAAAGCUAGCUCGAAAGUAACUUUAGGGUGUACUCGGUUGAGUAAAGAGAGUGAUAAGUGGGAAAAUCGUGAGAACGAUUAUGAAAAUUGAUUUUUUUAAGGGUAUUGUUUGAUUAGAUAAAAAGUGUGAAGAGGAAAGGGAAAUAUUAUUACGUUUGAAAUGAAAAAUAAUCGUAAUUAAGAAAAUUUAUAUAAAGUCAUUUUAAUUUUAGGCAAAAUUAUAAAUUUGAUCUCUUAAUUUUUUUCUUUCUUUUAAUAACCCAAAAUAGAACUAGAUUAAACAAAACAAUCAAAGUAUAAUUAAUGUUAAGAUUGAAAAGAUACAAAAGUCAAGAAACAAAAUACACAUAAACAUAACGGCGAUACCAACCCAACAAAAUAAAAAAAAUCAAAAUCCAAGGGUAGCUACACCUAAACACAUAGCACUCAAAUAUUCUAUUGAUAGAAAUUGUAGGAGAAUCCCUUGGCUUUAUUUUUACGAGAAUGGUUAGUGCUCCGGGGGUAUUGGUUAAGUAACUAAAAGAGGUAAGAUUUUAUUAAAAAGUUGUGUAAUAAUUAGUUAGUCAAAAGUAAUAGUUUAUAUUUCUAAGACAAUUUUUCUACUUUUUUUAUUCCUUAACCAAUGCUCCGAGGGCAUUAGUUAACAAGACAGGGCUAAAAUAUGGUUUUAGUCCCUGCAAAUAUGUCUCGUUUUGGUUUUAGUCCCUGUAAAAAAAAAUGUUUUUGGUCCCUGCAAAUUUUUUUAUUUUUUAAAAUAGUCCAUGACCCCAUUUUUGUGAUGAUUUGCAUACUGCCACAUGAUGACGGAACCGAUUUUAUAGUUUUUGGUCUCUGCAAAACAUUUUGUUUUUUAAAAAGGUCCUUGCAAAAUUUUUUGUACUAUUUUCAAAAACAAAAAAUUUUGCAGGGACCAAAAACAAAUUUUUUUUUACAGAAACUAAAACCAAAACGAUGCAUAUUUGCAGGGACUAAAACCAUAUUUUAGUCUUUUUUUAAUCCACGACCACACUAAAAGUUUCACCAAACCAAUAAGAUGACUUUAAAGUCUAUCUUGAUUGCUAAAAACAGUUUGAUUAUGUUGCGUUCAAAUCACCCACAAACAAGCAAUCCAUAUCAAGUGAAAACACUUCAUCACAUUUUUCCCAUGAAAAACCAAACCUAUAAAUUGAGUAAGAGCUUUUGUUCUACAAAGCACAACUAAUGUCUAGCCAAGACACAACAUCUGCCCAUAACUUACAAACUGCAUGACAAUUAAAAAACAAAUGACUAGAUGUUUCGUCUGUGAUACAUUUGUCCAUACACAAAGGGGGUGCUAUAUUGCAGACAUCCUUACGAGACAAGCUAUCAGUAGUUAGAAGACGAUCAUUUGACAAUAUCCAAACAAAUAGCAAAACCUUUAAUGGAACCAAAUUAUUUCAAGAAAUCUUAUACAAUAUAGAAUAGAAUCUAAUAUUAAAUCAAACUUAGAGAUCAGCUUAUAAGCCUGUUAACUAAGUAUAUGCCACCGAGAUUAAUAUCUAAUUGUCAAAUAUCAUCCACAUCAUCCUGCAAAGAAAUAUUAGCUAAGAGAGUAAUGCAUCCAUCAACUAAAUCUUCCUCCCAAACAAACAAACAAAAUUCUCAAACUUUAGCCCCUUCCUCCAAACCACUUGAAAACACCACGUCCUUCACCGAAACAUUUUGAUCAACUAAAAGAUUGAAUAACCUACUAAAGUGAUCCUUGAACACCUCCCCACCCAUCCACGACUCAAUACAACAAAUACAUAUCUAUUUUCUUCAACAUAUUCUUACAAAACCAUCUCCUUCCACGCCCUUCAUCACCCUUCUCAAUACAACAAAUACAUAUCUACCACCAUAAGUCUCUUCUUCGUUUUUUACUCACCAACUCAAUUAAAAGUCCAUAUUUCUCAACUAAAACUUUAUGCCAAAGAAGUUAUUUUUCUCUCUUUAACCUCAAACACCACUUUUCUAAGAGAGUUAGAUUAAAAGCUCUUGAAUUUCUCACCUCUAACCCACCUUUUUCUUUUCAUUAAUACACUUUGUCCCAAUGAAUCUUAUGACCCUCCUCAAUCAAAAAUAAAAAUGAUUUAAAUAAUGACUUAAUUAUAUAUAUUGUAUCAGGAGGAGCUUUGAAAAAGGAGACCUAUUGUUAUCAAAUUUGGUCUCUUAAAUUAUUUAUGAUUUUCAUUUUGGCUCCACAACUAAUUGUUGUUACGUCUAGGUCCAUUAACUGCAUUUAUGUUAGUCAAAUUGGUCUCUUCCCAUUAGUUUUUAACCUCAGUCCCUCUCAUUGUUGGCGUGAGUCAAUUUUCCGGGGGUGUUUUGGUUGGCUAUAAUGACUUACAUCUCCACUUUGACAACCUCGGUUCUAAACUUUCAGAAUGCAUCCAAUCUCGUAGUUAGUGUGACUUUUAUUUAAAUUUAAAAAUACCAUAAAUCAACUCGUUUUUUUUUUUGGUAGUGUAUUAUAAAUCAACUCGUUUACAUGAGAGCGAUACAAUCCAUAUCUUGGAUUCCAAACUUUUGAUGUAUUUUUUUUGCCUUUUAUUUUUUAUAUUUUAAAGAAAAUGUCUAUGAGAGUUGGAUGACACACUACAACAAAAACUACUUUGAUUUUUAUAAAACUUUAUGUAUCAAAUGAUUUAAGAACCAAUAACCAAUAAUUUCUAAGAACCUUGAACAAGUAUUUGUUGAUCUUAACAUUGUGUUAAAAAAAACUAGAUAUGAAAUAAAUAAGAGAAGUAGAAACAGGGGAGAAAGAAGGAAGCAUUUUUCUAGUUUUUUUUUUGGUUACAAGCAUUUUUCUAGUUUGAUUUAAGAAAGAACAAGUCUAUUUGUUUUGAAUUCAUCUGAACACAAACCAUCCAGCAUUGCAAUUGCAAGCAAGUGUCACGUUCAAUGAAAGAGGAACAAGAUGUGUAGCUCCUUUCUUUCUUAAUUCUUAUCGUUUUUUUAAUAGAAAAUGUUAACAAAUUAUAUUCUUAGAACAUUUUUUAAACGGGGCUUGCGCAAAUAAAUGGUGAAAUUUGACUCAUCGGUUUAAUCAUUUAUUGGACAGGAAACAUAGUUUUCAAAAAAUUUAUUAUUAUUUUUUGUUUAAAAAGGUGCAUAUUUAUGAUUUUGAAAAGUAUUUAAUUUGUAUUUUAAUAAUUUUUUUUUUAAGAUUCCUUAAACAAUACCCCUAAAACAUUUUGUUAGAUAAAAUAUAGCAGAUAGGCCAGAAGUUAGUUUAUACUUUAUAGCAUAUGAACUUAUCGUGAAUAAGAUAGCUAAUUAAAUUUGUAAUGUUUACUAAAAUUAGAUGUUGAAGUAGUUUUUUUUUUUUUUUUUUAAAACAAAAAGUAGGUAGCAAAGAUGCUACACUACGAAAAGAUGUUGAAGUAGUUUAUAAAUAUGAAAUGACAUAAAAAAAUAUGCGUUUAAUUAAUUUUUUUUAAAGGCUAAAGAAGUAUAUAUUAAUAAACCCAACCAAAAGUCCCCCCGGCACAUGGUGUACCCGAGAAACUAACAAUCUUGUGUGAUAAUUUUUAUGACAACUUUCUCUCUCAUACUCACAUUAUAUUUUUACAUUUCCUCUGUUGUUUUGCUUUUCUUAUCAAUAUCUAUUUUUUCUCUGUAAAUUUAUGGUUGUCUUAAAUAUUGUCAUACAAAUAAUUAUUCAAAUAACACACAUCUCCAACACAGCCACAUCACAAAAAACAACAACGAGAAGGAAGAAAGAGAAACUAGGAAACAACUCUUAUGCAUGACAAAGGAUUAUGUUGUCAAACAAGAUAAUAAAAAUUGAACAUAACAUAAGUCAAUUUUAACCAUCAGAAAGCAGCCCGCAAUUUAACCUUUUCUCUUAAACUUUGAAGAAUGUCUACCUUAUGUUGAAAAUUCUCUCAUUUCUCUCCUUUCAUAUGACUCAAAUAACAGAAAUUCAGAUAACAUUAAAAGUCAACCGAGCAUUGUUCGAAAAUCUCCCUAGACCAUCAAAUUAAAGAAGGCAAUCUUGUAAAUUGUCAUGAAGAGCCAUCGAAAAACCUAACCAACUAACAGGAAAUCAAAGACCAAAAUCUACCAUACAAAUCACAUUUAAUAAAGAAAUGAUCUAUAUAUUUCCACACCCUCAAUCUACUGAACAAUUAACAUCAGAAAUAGUUAAAAUAUGUCACCUAAACAAAGUAGAUGGUUAAAAUAUGUCACCUAAACAAAGUAGCCUUUGCUGGAAUCCGACUAAGGUCUAAGGAACAACUGCCAGACAAAAAUAUUUAUUUUAAGCGGGAUUACUUUAAGUUACAACACAUGACUAAAACUCAUAUUAAGUUACUUUAAGUUAUAACAACUUUUGUAUUAACUUAUCACAAAUUACUAUAAUAUCAUAAAAAUAAACUAUAUACUCGUGAGAAAAUAAUCAUUACCAAACGUUUUUUUUAGUCAAAUAAACUUAUAAGACAUAAACUAUAAACUUAAAAAUAGGUAUUGCCAAACAAACCCUUAUUAGGACGACUCUUUAAAUUUACUCCCCAACUAGUGAAAUUGCAAAUUGCUUAAAGAGUUUUGUUAAGGAGUGUCUUUAAAAGUAUUUGUUAAGAAUUUAAAAAUAAAAAUAAUUGAUAAUUUUUAUAUAAAAAAAUUGUUUUUUAAUAUUUCAAUGUGUUCAAUACAUAAAUUUAGGAUAAAUUUUUAUUUUCAACUUUUUAUCAAGUGUUAAAAUUGUUGCAUUUCACUUGCUUAAAAUAUGUUAAAUUUUUUUUCCUCACAGCCAAGAAAGAAUGAUGUCUAUCUUAAAAAUGUAUAUUUAGAAAUUUUUUUUUUCUGCCCUUGUUUGUGUCCAAAAAUACAAAAAUGCCUCACUUUUGCAAAAAAUUGCAUAAAUGCCCUACUUUUCAGAAUUUUCUGGUACCUUGCAACCCCCGCUUGCGGGGUACCUUUAAAAUUUUUUUAAAAAAUUUUAACUACCCCGCAAGUCAAAUUGGCAUGGUAUUUUUUGAUUUUUUUUUUUUAAAAUUUUAUUGCCUUGCAACCCCCACUUGCGGGGUAUAUUUAAAUUUUUUUAAAUUUUUUUUUAAUACCCCGCAAGUGUAACUUGCGUUCCAUUUUUUUUUUUAAAAAAAAAAAAUUAAAACCUUGCAAGCGGGGUAUAUUUAAAAUUUUUUUAAUACCCCGCAACCCCCACUUGCGGGUUUUUUUUUUGGGUUUUUUUUUUAAAUUUUUAAAAUACCACUCUAAACAAAAAUAAUAAUAAACAAAAAAAAUACUACAAUAUCUACGAUUAUUAUCAAACAUGUAUUAUUUCAUCUACUAUAAAUACUUCGUUUAAUUUUUCAAUUUAUCAUACCAUUUUAACUUAUAUUAAUAAUGUAAAUUUAGGCGUUGACAAAAAAGUAAUUAUAAUAAUAAUCAUAAUAUUUACAAAAUUAAAAAGAUACGAAAUACAAUAAAUAUGAAAUAAAGACUAGAGUUUUACUGAUGUCUAAUAUUAAUGCAAUCUUUGCGCGAAUGAUCAGGCAUCCUACAAACGCCGCAUCUUCUCUCAGUUUCCACAUCGUCCAUUUCGGUCCUAAUGCGAGUAAUUGGUGGACGACCUUUCUUUGCCCUACGCAUAGACUUGUCGGGAACCACCUUCAGUCCUUCAUAAUUAGGCCAAUAUGUCUGGUGGUGAACCACGUCGAAGUGGAUGUUGUAUACGGCGUAUACACACUCAUUCGUGAAUUUGUUAUCGACAAAAGUCUUGUAGUCAUGACAAAAGCUAGAACAUGCGGCAAUGACAUGUGAGCAUGGUAGGUGUAACGCUCUGAAUCGUCCACAAUCACACCAUUUAUUUUGCAGGUCUACCUUGUAUUCUCCCUUUGGUAAUCCUUCUCUAUGGUCGAUGGUUUCACGGACGGAAAAGGUAUACCGAUCCCGAUCAAACUGAGUGACAUGAUGACUGUUGGAUUUAAUCACCUCAUUCCUCAGAUAUUUCAUGCUGUUUUCUGAGAAUGGCUCACCAGAAUUUACCCUUGCCGCUGCCUCAUGCCCUCUUUUAGCAAACAAGGCCGCCAACCUGUAAUAUGAUGCUUUUACAAUAGCUGUGAUAGGGAGUCCUCGAAUACCCUUAUACACGUUGUUUUGUGACUCUACCAAGUUACUUGUCAUAUGGCCCCAUCGUCGACCAUCGUCAUGUGAUUGAGUCCACUUUUGUUUGGGAAUAUUGUCGACCCAUGCUAAAGCCUUUCGGUCUGCAACAGCAAUUUCAGAACGGUAAUAUUCGAAUGUAGGGAUGUUCAUGGCGUAACCUGCAUUGUUUGGGAAAAAGUUAAAUGUGUCUUUUUAAACAAAUAAUAUGUCGAAUUUACGUGGAAAGAGAUAUGAUUUUUACCCAUGCCUUCAACUUUCUUCUUAAGUUCUCCAUCCUUGAAUGAUCUCAUAAAGUUUUGUGCAAUGUGUCGGACACAAUACACAUGGCUUGUCGGAGCACCGUGCCAUCCAUUCUGUGGAUCAUCAUACGCGCUCUUUAUCGACACAUGUCUAUCAGAAAUGAGGCAUAUGUUCUCCUGUGGGGUGACAUGCUGCCUUAGAUUCUUCAAAAAGAAAUUCCAAGCCUCCUUGGUCUCGCCUUCCACGAUUGCAAAAGCAAUGGGAAAUAUCUUGUUGUUCCCAUCUUGCACAACAGCUAACAACAAUGUUCCUUUGUAUUUACCAUACAACCAAGUUGCGUCAAUUUGGACAAUGGGAAAUAUCUUGUGUGCUAUAUUGUUGUUGUGGUAGACUUUGGUGUUGACUAGAACUUGAUGGGUAAUUUAACUCAACAUUAGAUGUUGGAUUCGUCAUCUCAAACAUAACAUAAAGCUCUAUAUAGGACAAAGAACUGUGACUUUUAUGUACGUUAAACAUAAACUCGACAUCGUCGUUAUCUGUUAUUCUUAACGCCUGGUAGUGAAUUGUGGUAGUUCCAACAAACAUGGGAUUCCGGCAUAUAAUUUCAGACACAACCAUGUUAUCUCCGAGACAUAACUUUUUCACUAUUCUUUUUUUGAGAUGCAAGUAAGUACUAGCCAUGCUCACUUUAAAACCUUUGGUAUACUGACUUUGGAAAAAAAUGCCGGAUUCAUUUUGUUUAACUUCUCCAUUGUAGUACAUAAAAAUGUUUAUAUUUGGUGCCAUUGAAUGGUUUGAUGUUAAGAAAUGAGUAAGAGUAUGAAGUAGAGUGGUGUGAUACAAUUAUAAUUAUAACAGGUUCACCACUUUUAUAAAAUUGGGUAAAAAAUAAAACGCAAUGGCCAAAUGCUUCGUCACGCGCCAGCACGCACCAGUUCAUGGCAUCACGCAGCUCCCACUUGCGGGGUCGGGCACUCACGCGCCAUCUUCAUGCCAGCACGCUACUCCCACUUGCGGGGUAUUACUUACACGCGCCAGUUUAAUUGGCCCUUCAGAUAUAGCUGGUCAGUACAAAUAAUGCAUCUACCAUGCACGUGAUUUAGCAUGGUUUGGUCAUUUCAGUCAAAAAAUUUAUGCAGAAAAUAAUGCAUUUUUUGCAUGCAAUGGUCAUUUCUACAUGCAAUUGUCAUUUCUACAUGCAAUACUGUUGAACAGCAUGCCUCUGCUUUUACAUGCAAUUGUCAUUUCUACAUUUAUUUGAACACUGUUGGCAUGCAUGCAUUGCAGUAGUAACACGUGAUUUCUUCACUUCAAUUAAAAUACGACACUACUAUUUCAAUUUCUUUACACAUAGUUUAACAUUACAAAUACCACAACCUUAUUCUUACUCUUUACUCUUUUUAUAUCAAUCCUUUUCUUCCUUAAUUCUUACUCUUUUUAUAUCAAUCCUUUUCUUCCUUACUCACUCACGUAACAAAUGGCAUACUUGUGGUUGGAAAAUGAUCUUAGAUCCACGGAAAAACACAUCAGAAGAUGGGUAUAUAUGAAUAUUAAUUUGUUAAUUUUACUUACAUUUUUUAAAUUACUUAUUAUAUCUUCUCUUUUUAUUUUUUGUUAGGAUGCAGAGGGUGUACCUCUUGUCACUCGUACACGACAACACAUAGUACCAAGUCCUUUUAUUCAAGAUUAUCUACGUCAAGCUGGAUUUUUUGAGGUUUCUCAAAUAGAGCGUUACAAAAUUGAUAGGCACAUUGUAACCACUCUUGUAGAAAGAUGGCGGUCCGAAACUCAUACUUUUCACUUUCGAACGGGUGAGUGUACUAUCACUUUGGAAGACGUCUAUAUGUUACUCGGCUUACCUUUUGGAGGUUCAAUUGUUACGGCUCCUCCAACUCUUCCGUGGAAUCUUUGUGCUCAUUUGUUGGGAAUAACUCCUCCGGCACACAAAACUGAUGGUUUUACUCUCUCCUUGUCGUGGUUAAAGGAUAAUCUGGUCGAUAAUAACUUCAAUGAACAAUCUCCUCCAGAGGUAAAAAUACAACACACUAGGAGGUACCUACUAUACCUCUUUGGAGGGUUCUUGUUUCCAAAUACAACUGGAUUAUUUGUGCACACCUCUUGGUUGUAUUUGUUAAUGGAUUUUAAUGAAACAAGAAAACAUAGUUGGGGAUCGGCAGUUUUGGCUUACCUUUAUCGUGGCUUGUGUGAGACCUCACAUCCAAAUAUAAAAGCACUAAAUGGAUGUCAUUUCUUGUUACAAGUUUGGGGAUAUUGUCGGUUGAGUUAUAUCGCUCCGAGAAAUGAUAACCUACUCCAGUGGCCGCUAGGAUUAAAGUAAGCGUGGCCAAUUUUUUUUUUUAUUAACCCACUCACAUAUUCUCGCUUCUUAUUAAUAUUAUUAUUUGAUAAAUUAGCUACUAAUUUCUUUAUAUCAUUUGUUAGAUGGACAGGUGUAGGUUCAAGAUACUACGAGAAUCCAAGCCAUGAUACUAUAUCUUACAGAAAAAAGUUUGAUGACAUACUACCACAUGAUGUAAUAUUUUAAUUGAUUUUUGAAUUAUGAGUUCAUAUAUAUAUAUAUAUCAAAAUUGUUAACCUUACACUACAACUUCUCUCUUGUGCCAGUUUAAAUGGAGACCUUACAAGAAGGUUCCAUACAACCAGCCUGAAGACUAUUGGAAAUGGACAGCAACAACCUUCCUUAUAUGUUUUGACAAAGUUGAAUGACAUCCAACUGAUAGGGUCAAGCUUCAAUUUGGUUUGCCACAAGAAAUACCCGGGGUCCCAAGAGACAUGCGACAAUUUCAUACGGUGGACAAACGAUUCAAGACGUGGUACCAAUCAAACGGUUUUCGCUUUCCAGAAGAAAUCUUACAUUGGGACAACCGACAGAGUCAUACUUUACCUCGCAUGCGGCCAAGAUCACUCACCCCAACUCAUGCGUAUAUUGAGUGGUUGACAACCACAUGCAACCCACGUCUAAGGAUUUCAGUUGACACAAAACCAUCAGAUUCAGAUCCAGACGAACAAGAAGAGCUGGAACAUGAACCCGAAAUUCACAACAACCAAACACCAAUUCAUGAUGAUUUUUGGGAUCAAGAAAUUUUUUCUCAACUACAAGAUCAUCAAUCCCAACCACAUACAACACAAAACAUUCAUGGUUCUGUAAUGUAUGAAUUUCUCGCCACCCCCCAACAAAAUGUCAUCCAACCACCACCAUAUACCUCCCCGAGAAAUGCAUAUGAGCCCCAUUAUGAGUCAACUUACCAACAAAAUUCAAUGCCAAAUUAUGGUUACAAUGACCCAAACCAAGCUAGCACAUCCAACACCAACUACUUCUCCUAUAAUGACUCAAACCAAGCUGGACCGUCCAACACCAAUUACCCCCCCUACAACAGCCCACAAUACCCAAUGUACACCAACCAAAACUACAACCAUCCACCAACACCAACAAACCUAUUAUUUCACUUCUCUUCGGCUUCGUUCAACGACAAUGAACAAUUUCUGGAUAUUGGAUGGCAAACAAGGGAACACGAUGUGUCGUUGUCAUUGGGUUAUGGUAGUCAAAUACAAUCAGCUACAGAUAACAAUGACGAAGACCAACAUGACCCUCAAGUAAAUCGCGGAAGAAAUCGUCGAAGACGAGGGUGUGGGACGGCCGGGCAUUUAUAAUAAUUGUAGAUAUUAUGAUAUUUAAUUUGUUUAUUAUUUUUUUUCCUUCUUUUUUGUUUAUUAUUUUUUUUGUAUUUAAAAAAAAAAAUGGAACGCAAGUUACACUUGCAGGGUAUUAAAAAAAUUUUAAAUAUACCCCGCAAGUGGGGGUUGCAAGGUAGUAAAAUUUAAAAAAAAAAAAAAUCAAAAAAUACCACGCCAAUUUGACUUGCGGGGUAGUUAAAAUUUUUUUAAAAAAUUUUAAAGGUACCCCGCAAGUGGGGGUUGCAAGGUACCAGAAAUUCUGAAAAAGUAGGACAUUUAUGCAAUUUUUUGCAAAAGUGAAGCAUUUUUGUAUUUUUGGACACAAACAAGGGCAGAAAAAAAAAAAAUUUCGUAUAUUUACUGCAGACGCAUCUUCAGCCAGCCCAUGAAAAUCUCUAUUUUAGAGCAGAAUUAGCCACACAAUCACAUCAAUCUUUUUCACAUUUUUCAUUCGGGAUGACUUCAUACUGUCAUUGGAUGAAGACAGUAAAUUUCAAACCAAAAAAGUGAAAUAAUCCAUAAUUUCCAUUGCCAUAAUUUCUGUCUAGUCGACUUACUCACAGUGGUACCACCAAUCAUGACUACUUUUACCUUAAACACCUAGUACAAGUACAUGUAGCGGUAACGAAAUAAGAAGAAACAAUCACAGUUACACAAGUCACAACACUGCGUUUAGUUUAGUAGGACUUUAGGAUUUUAUUUUAAAUUUAAAACUAGUUACAACGGGUUCAAUAACGUAUUCGAUAAAAAAAAAUUUGAAAGAAGAGAUGUUAAAACGACGGAACAUUGUGAUUCAUCAUAAAAUAUAUAUGGACUGAUUAAGAGAGCAUAUAAUCAGUUUAUGAGAUUAUGAAUUGACAUAAUAUUUAGGAUGAAAACAAUUGGAACCAAUAAAUGAACCAAUGAUGUUUGAAUUAUGAUUACAUAUUAUCCCAAAUUAUAAAAUAGAGUGUUAUUGUUAUAGAGUUACCAAAAAAUGAUUGAUACCCAUAUUUACAUCAAAUGAAAUAAAGCAAAGAAGUAGCAUCGGUGAGUGAAGAUAAUCUAGUCUAGGAUUAGAGUUAAGGUGAUCUGUUGAAAGUGAGGAUCAUGAACACCAAAUCUUUAUUUGGAAACGACUUGAACGUGCAUAUUUUUAGGUGGCUUCUCUAGAUCAAAAAUUAGCUUGUCACCUACCUCUAACAUAUGUUCUCGGCAAAAUUUGAACCAUUGGCCGCCUAAGUAUUUUCGUAACUUGCUAUCUUUGUCGUUAUCAAGCGACACUUAUACCUUUUUUUGAGCUUGUUUGUCGAUGAGUGUGAUUGUUUUUCGUGUUCCUUUUAGAAAUGUCAUCGAUAUCUCAUUUGAGAAGUGCUAGGUACAAAACAAAUUGCAGUGUUAAUUAGAUGUUAUAUAUAUAUAUAUAUAUAUAUAUAUAUAUAUAUAUAUAUAUAAGUACAUUUCUAAAACAUUUACCAAAGCAUUAUAAAGAUUUGCUGUAGAUAAAGAGCAUGUUCUAUUUUAUUCAAGAGAUUAGGAAAACAACAUUACAAUUAACAUGAUACUAAUUGGAAUCAAUGAAGGAACCAACAAUGUGCAGAUUAACGUUAUAUAGUAGUUAGGUUUAUAAAAGAGAUUGUAAGUGUCAAAGAUUAACCAAAAAUGGAUUUUUGCCAAUACUUACAUCAGACAGAAUGAAAAUAACAAAUGGCAUCCCAAAGUCAAGAUAGUUUACGAUUACAGUCCAAAGUGAUACAUCAAAAUAGUAGAAGUUCAAAUAGUUCAACAACAAAGAUCUACGUUGGAACAACUCGAACGUGCAAGUUCUUCUGUGACUUUUCGAGAUCAAAGAUGAGCUUACCACCUUCUUCCAUCACUUGUUAUCUGCAGAAAUUAAACCACUGCCCACCCAAGUAAUUUUCAUAGCUUGCUCUAUCGGCAGUAAUGAGGUGACAAUUAUAUUGUCUAUGUGUCUGGUCAUCAAUAAGAGUGAUAGUUUUGCGCUUUCCUUUCAGAAUCGUUCUUGACACCUCGUUUGGGAAAUGCUAAACAGGAAAAUAACUGCAAUAUUAGUCUAAUGCAUAUUUACAUGGAUAAGAUGUAAUCGAAUAUAGUUACAUAUAAUUUAUAAAAUAAAGGUAGCAUAACUGAUUUUAAGCUAAAGAAAAUGUAACAUGACUUCUAAUUUAUCUUCCUAUAAAGUCUAGAUAAAUGCAUGCAUGUACAUUAUAUGUACCCCGUUGACCAAUUAACAUUGUUGAAACAAAUGGAAAUUAAGCAUCACUUCCGCAUGUGCAUAUAUAGCUAGCACCAUUUGACAUUGAUGUCUUCGAACAUUUAGUGCAACUCUCAUAAUACAAUCCAAACUGGUUAGGAUUGAAUUUAGUUGUUUUCCAGAUAGUGAUGCAAUAUGUUUCCUAACACAAAUUAUGCACCUAAAAUAAAGAAUAAUGCAAUAUGUAUUUUUUAAUUUGUGCGUAAAAAAACUCAAAGCAUGUUUGUGCAUAAAAAAGCAGACAUUGACUAAGUUUAUAAAUUCAUCAAUUGGCCUAACCUGAGACAGUUUGGAAAAAUCGUUGUACGAAGUACGUUGAGAAGAAGUCGAACUCUGACUUAAGUUCUAACUGAAGCUUUGACUCUGAGCUUGAGAAGUGUUAAGGUCACGACAACAAUUCAAGAAACAUGGUCAAAAAACAAUUAAAUCGAAAUGUGAAAAAUAGGUUACUCUAACACUGUAUUGUGAAAUCAUAAUGCAAACUUACUAAGUCUUAAACUUAUCAACAACAGGAUGAUGUAGGUUGAUGAGCAACCUCGAACCUGACCAAUUGUUACAUAUAUUUGGGUUGCCAUUGACUACAAAAUGGAAGCAAAGAACUCAAGGUAAAUAGAUGGUAAAUGAUAAAGCUACGGAGUAUUUUUCCCAUAGUGUUACAUCAACUAUAUUCCUACUACAUAAGGAAAUACAUUUCUCGGGUCUUUAUCAAACUUAUACAAAAUUCUAUCAUCUGAUGCUGACAAAAUAGAAAAUAAUAUCUUUUGUAUUUAGCAAUGUUUAGUUUUUUUGAAUAAGAAAAAGAUAUGCAUAGUUUGUUACGAUAUAAAGGUGUAAUAUAUACACACAUAAUUUAUAUAUAUAUAUAUAUAUAUAUAUAUAUAUAUAUAUAUAUAUAUAUAUAUAUAUAUAUAUAUAUAAGAUAAGCAUAAUUUUUUUAGGCAUCUAUACCUUUUUUGAAGAAAAGACAUCUACAAUUUUACUUUUAAUUAAAAUCAAAAUUUUAUAAAUAUUAUACGCAUUAGCGUAACAAAAAAACAGACACACAUAAAGUAUUACUCUAAACGCUAAUAUGUGUGUCUGUAUAUUUGCAAGGUUGAAGAAAGAAAAUAAAAAUAUUUUGUAUCAUUAAAUGAUAACGUGAAUAAAAAUAUUUGUGAGGUUGUUAUAAUUAAACGAUAUUUAAAUUAAAUAUAUAAGUGAUAAAAAGAUAAUAAAAUUUCUUUGAAAAAAAGGUAAUAAAAUUAAAUGGAACCUCCUUUAAAAAAUUAAAUGGAACGGCUAAAAAAAAAUUAAAUGGAAGAAAAAAAACAUAUUGAAAUAUAAUAUUAGAAAAUAAAAGAAAAGGUUCCCAGCGUGAGUUGAAAAGAGGUGCUUGUGAAAUAUAUUGUCGAGAAGUAGUUUUUUAAAAGUAGCAUUUAACAACUUUUGGCCAAAACUCAUUCCAUUUAAUUUUAUGCAUUAGAAAAAGUUCCCUUUCUAGUAACUGAAUUUGGGAGAAAAAAUUGGAAAAUAGUUAAAAAUAAAAAAAUUGGAAAAUAGUUAAAAGUUUUUAAAAAUAUAAAAAUUGGAAAAUAGUUAAAAAUGAGAUAGCACUCAACCAAGCAACACUAAAAAAAAUUAUAUGCAUCAGCGUAACAAAAACGCAGACAGACGGCCAUAAAAUAUUACUCUAAACAGAUAUAAGUAUUGAUUCUUUAAAAAAAAAAAAACAGAUAUAAGUAUUGAGUACAUCACUCAUAUAUACAACAAAUAUUACAAAAAAAUAAACGAUAUUCAAAAGAAAAAAUACAAAUAUUUUAUGAGUGAUGUAUUCAAUUUAUUUAAAGUUAAAAAAUUAUUCUUCUAAGUCAAUGUAAAGGGUGUGGUUAUCAUGCAUAAAGAAAUCCUUAUGCACCGUGCAUAAAUCUCAGCCCAUUAACCGGUAGCCCAACAUAAUUGCUUCAUACACUCCUGAAUGAAACCAAACGCGGGACAAAACAAAACGAAUCAAAUGCGGAAACAAACUGAAUCAUCACCGUCGGUCAUCAUCAUCACCACCAGAAUCUUCAAUCUCAUCAUCAACACCGUAAUUCAUCAUCAUCACCGUCAUUCACCAUCAUCAUCACCGUACCGAAAUCAUCAUCAUCAUCACCAUCGUCAUUCAUCAUCAUCACCGUCAAUCAAAAUUGUAUAUGUUAGUUGGAAAUGAUUUCAGAGUGUUGAUUUGGUUCAAUGACAGUCACAAAUGUCCUUAUUAUAGUAUGUUUUGUAUAAAAUUAUGCCAAAAUCAUUUUGCUGUGGAAAUGGUUUUUGUGAGUUGUACUCCAAAACCAUUAGAUGUAUUUAAUGGUUUCCAGCAGGUGAAAAAAACUAAGGACCUAAAGCCAUUGCCAUCAUUCAAUUUUGGAUUGACACAAUUGGAGGAGGAGGAUAUAAAUGGUUUAUGUGACUUGUACUCCAAAACCAUUUUGCUGUGGAAAUGAUUUAUGUGAGUUGUACUUCAAAACCAUUAGAUGUACUUAAUGGUUUUCUUUGAUCCAGCAGGGUGCAUAUUACAAUCAAAAAUAAAAAACAUAUGGAAUUUUCUAACCAUAACAGAAAAUUUUCAAAACCAUUCAGUCACCAACUUUGAAUUCUUAGCAACAAAAUCACAAUUAUCAGAAAAAUUUCCAAUUUGAUUUCGACAUUUUCUCAAACCAGAUCCAUCAUCAAUUUUCCCAAUCAAAUUCAAAUCAAUCCCUAAUCCCUCCAACUCAUUACUCCAAAUUCCCCUCCUCUUCAACGCUGUCCUUUCACAAUCAACUUCAAUUGAACUUCUCUUCCGUCGCCGACGCGUGUAAACAAACAAAAGCGGCGGUUUUGGAAAAUCCUCCACAAAAAACAACGUCAUCUUAGACAUGGUUUUUUCAAUUUCAAUCGUUGAAUCAUCGAUUUCACCAUUACUGAACUGAAUCUCGUUCUCCAGGAUUAUUACUGAACUGAAUCAUCAAUUUCACCAUUACAAACAAAAGUUGGUGCUUGAAUUCAAAGUUGAUAGACUUAGGAUUAUUACACGUGUAAAACAAAUCUGAUGGUUGUGAAGUGUUUAUGUAGGGUACAUAAGAAAAUGACUUAUGCAUAAUAACUUUUGCCAAUAUUUAUGUAGGGGAAUCUUAAUGCAUAUCCAUUCAAAAAUUAAGAGAUGUUCAUUAACAAUGUGCACUUUUAUAUUUUGAAAAGAAAAAAAUUACAUCUGUAUAAUUAUUUUGUGAUAACUUUCUUUCUACAAAUGCUUGUUCAAAUAACACACUUUAACGUAAAAGGUGUACAUUGCUAAUCAACGUCUUUUAUAUUUGUUGCUCCAUGUUGUAAUAGGUUUAGAGUACUUCUUGUUCUCUUGUUGUCUAUUUUAUAUAAUCUUCUAUUUUUUUUUUUUUUAAAAAAGUUGUUUGUCCUCAUAAUCUCAAUUGUUAGAAAAGAUCUCCAAAACAUUUGUUGAAAUAUAACAAAAAAAUUUCACAUACACAACUUUUGACAUCAGACAUCGUAUAAAUAUGUGUUGGAUUUUGUUACUAUUAUUUCUCUCACUUUGGUUGGAAAACAAACUAGCUCGAGAUGUUUUUUAUAUACGGUGUCGGUUUUGUGUGUUAAAAUAACACUCCUCGAAAUAUAAUGGUCAUGCAACAUUCUCAAAUAAUGUGGUCGGUUUUAGAAUGUGUUUAUUAUGUGUGUGUGUGAUUGAGGUUGGUAAUUUCCUUCACAAUAGUGCUAUAUGUCCCGAGUUAAAACACAACGAAUUUAUCUAAAAGAGUUUCUCACGUUAGAUUAGUCCAAGGCUGAAAAAACAUAUGGUGGGAUGCAAAAGAGGGACCUACUACAAUAAACAGUGUAUGGGAAUCUGUUCGGGAUACAUUCGCGUCAAUUGUGCUCGCGAUAAGAAGCAUUUUCCUUUCCUUCAAGGAAAAAAUCUCCAAUUGCUGGUCAAGGUUAAACAUUCAUGAAGGUAUGUCAUUUGGUUUGCUUCAUGCUAUGCAAUAGAGAUGAGAGCUAGACAUGGGUAUUGACAACGUCACUUUUGAACUCAAUUCAAAAUAAUUAGUGGUGAGAUUCAAUAGUUAGGAUCAAUGCAAUCCAUCCAAACAUUCUAAAUCCUUAUGCUUUAUACCCUAGAAAUACAUUUUUGUUAAAGACAUCUAGGCCUCCAAACAAAUUAACUGAUACUAUUGAAUUGACACAAUUUCUUCCACGUCUUUUAUCUUAUUUAUUUGUAACACUUUAAUCGUCAUUUAUCUCUUUUGACACUUUCAAAUCUUUUAUUUCUAUGGUUUCCCUUUAUCUUUCUCUUUUGACACGUUCAAAUUCUUUAUCUCUAAAAAUGCGUACAAGUUAGUCAUUAUUUUUUGUAUUUUAUUAAAACAACGCUGAGGUGGCUUGCUAAGAAUUAUUAUUAGAAGUAAUACUUUUAUUUUUAUAUAACUUUUUUACUAAAAAAACCUGAAAAAAAAUAUCUUCAUCUUUUUCGUAUAUUUAUCGAGUUCAACAUCAUCUUCAAACCCAUAAAACUUUAUUAUCAAAUCAACAUCCUAAAUCUUCAAAUUUGUAGUGGCUCAAGAUCAAAAUCCAUGAUCUAUCAUAAAAAAGAAACUCAACUAAGAAAGAAGAAGUUUACAACACAUCUUAAUCAUCCAAUUGUUGAUGAUUCGAAGUUUGCAACACAUAUCAAAAUCUCAAUUUAAUUUCAUCAAUUUCCGAGUUUAAGAUGAUGAUUAAAAGAGAAGAAAAUUUGUAGGUUUGGUGUUUUUUGGGUUCUAAUUCGAGCUACUAAGAUUUAGGGUUUUGAUUUAACUUUAUGGGUUUGAAGAAGAAGAUAGCUAUAGAAGAUAUUUAAGAUGAUAAACAUAUAAAAAUAAAGAUGAAGAUUGCUUGAUUUCAAUUUUUUUAUUGAAAAAGAAUAUUUAAAAAUCAAAUUAUUAUUAAUAAUCCUACAUGGCAAACCGCCUCAACGUUUUAAGAUAAAUAAGAUAAAGAACAAUUUUUUUGCUAAAAAAAAAGAUAAAGAACCAUUUCAUUUGAAUAAGUUUGCCUACUUAAUACUAAUAAGUUGAUAUUUUGCAUAAUUUCCAUGUAGCUUAGUUGGUUAGUUGAUUGAAGUGUGUGUUUGGUUUUCCAUUUGCAACAUACUAAAUCACAUUUUCCAAUACGUUUUGUCGUGACUUUUAGAAAUUCCAAAUAUUAACUUCUACGAUAACAUAAUUUUUUGUUGUGAUUUUCAUCAAACUCCGUUUUGCAAACGUUGUAUCAAAUAGACACAAUUUUUGUUUUUUUUUUUUUUUUACUCUUGGGUGGGAGACAAAGUUAUGCAUAAAACAAGCUGAUUGUUUGGUUUAACCCGUCCUAUGUAAGUAACUUCGAUAAUCUGUUGUUAAGCCAAGAGGCUAGCAUUAGCCAAUAAUUAUUCAAAUUUAAAUGAGUACUCCAAUAAGAAAGAUUUCAUGAAAUGUGCAUGUUAUUAUUAUAAUAGUAAAGAUUCAUAGAAAAAUCGGAUGAAGACCUUCAAUGAUACUCUUUAAUUUUGAACUUGAGUAAAAAUUUAGUAAAUAAUUCUUACAAAUUGGAAUAUACAAAAGUGAAAUCAUGUAAGCAGAUUAUGCGACAGAGAGAAUCAGAUAUGGCCACAUCCCCAAAAAAGUUGUAUAGACUCAGAAAGGAAACAUGACGUAUAUAUUGAUGCUCCUCCUAUCUUUAUUUGACAUUCCAAAUCAAAUCAUAAUAAUAAUAUAAAAUCAUAUCAUAUCCUUUCUACUUUUUAUAGUUCUUUAUUAACUUUUGAUAUCAUAUUUUUUAAGAUAGAUUUUGCAUAUGGCAGCACCUGCAACCAGGUAAUUUUCGACAACCAAAUAUAUAAGACGGCUCUGUCACAUAGAUACACAGAGGUAGCAGUGAAAACGUACAGAUAAUGCUUCCUCAUUAGUGUCUUUAAUCAUUAAUUUCUUCCCAAAUGGCUGCAACACCCAUCAUUCUAAUUUCUAAUUUUUAAUUAUUAAAUCCUUGAAUUAUCCCACCAUUAUAAAUAUAUGUGUCUUCUUCUUCACAACAUGCAUAUUAAAUUAACCUAGCUACGUAUCUCCAAUAUUUAUAAUGGCUUCUAAGUUCAUCUUUUCUUCUGUCUUUUUACUUGUUCUUUUCUGCUUGCUUUUUAUCAAGGAGACUUCUGCAGGUUAAUUAAUCUUCUAUUUCUGUUCUUUUUAUUUCUUUUUUUUGAAUAAGUUAAAUUUUUUCAUGUUUCUUGUUAAAGUAUAAUUAUUCAUUGUAUUAGUAUAUAUAAUAAAUAAUUUAUUUUUUACUUGUAGGUUGCAAUACUGCAUAUGCAUGCUCUUAUGCUAAUGGCGAAAGUCUCAAAAUGUUCCAAAACAGGAAGGUUUGUCACACUAUUUUAGGCUUCUAGCAUAAAUACAUAUAUCCAUUUUUUUCUAUGAAAAUAAAAUAUUUAUUUUUAUUAUAUAUUGUGCAGAUGCUGUCUGGUUUGAAGGUUAGUUUGGAAGGAUCUUCAACCAAGAUCAAGUAUGGUGAAAAGACAGUGGUUGGAGAGUUGAGAAAGGUUCCUACAGGUCCAGAUCCACUGCACCAUCAUAACAUUGGCAACCCUAUUAAGCCUGAAAACCCUUGAACUCAUUGAAGAAAAACUAGUUUCUAUGUUUUGGUCUAGUAUUUGUUACAUGUAGUCAUGUGAAAAUGGAAGUUUAAGUCUAAGUAAUUUUGUUUGUUUUGUCAUUUUGUAGAAACAUGUAGCUUGUUAAUUUCUGUUCUUUCUUGUGUUUAUUAAGAAGUUUGUAAGCUCAUUCAGUAGAAUUUAAUUUAUCAUCAUCUUUUGGUAUAUAUCUCUUGUUUUAAAAUUAACAGAGGUUCCAUGAUUUAUUUUAAUAUAAAUAGAUUGUGAAAGCAAUUUAAGUAUAAUAAUAAUAAUAAUAAAAAGCGAGGAAUUUUUUUUCUCUCAAAUAAAUACUCAAAUUUUGGCCAUUAAAAUUGUAUGACUGUAUCAAAUGUAGUUCACAUUAAUGAUAUUGCAUAAUGAUACUCAAGUUGUAAAAUUUUAAUCAAAUUUGUUCUUCCGUUGGUAUUUAGAGUGCUAGAAAUAACGUUAUAUUAGUACAUCAAGGAUGAAUUUGAAACUAAGUGAGUAAUACCAUGUAUGCAUUUGAUAACUAAUAGAUUCAAAUAGAGUAACACAUGUACCCAAAAAAAAAAAAAUCAAAUAGAGAAACAUAUUUUUAGGUACCUUUGUUUUGGCUAAAGCUGUGUCAUUACCGUGUACUGUUUCGACUGAUGUAGGAGAAGCGUUUGGGUUGCACGCUGCUCUCCAAUGGUUGAGCGACAUGCAGUUUGAUAGUGUGGAUUUUGAAACAGAUUCUAAAUUGUUUGCUGAUGCUUUUCUCUCUGAUAGGAACGACACAUCCGAAUUUGGCUGCAUUAUUUCUUCUUGUCGUUCGUUGUUCACUGCUUUAUUUUUCAACUCUCGGGUGGAGUUUGUUAGGCGACAAGCCAACGAGGUUGCUCAUGCUCUUGCAAAAGAAGCCACAUUACUAGCUAGUCCCGUUGUUUAUUUUGAGAUACCCAAUUAUAUUGAAAUUAUUAUUAUCAAUGAAAUACUAUAAGCAUGUUUUCUUAAAAAAAAAAUGAAUUGUUUUAGAAUAUUGCAAACGUAGAGAACUUAAUUAGGUUGAUGUUGAACCUCCACAACAAGGGAAAUUUAACUUCUUAAGCCUUUGUACCAAACAAAUAUCUCCAUUGAAGAGAAAAAAAAUAUACCCAUAGAGAAGAGGGUGUUACUAAAUUUUUUUGAGGUAAUUAUAUAUAGUUUUUUUAGGAUAUGAUGAUACAAAGCUGUUAGUAAAUCUUGAUAAAAAAAAAACUGUUAGUAAAUGAUAUAGUUAGUAAUGUGAUUCAUUUAAUAAUUUUUUUUUUUGAUGUAGUGAGUUAAAAAAAACAAAGUGGUUAUGAAGUAUACCAUUAAUAAAUUAUAAUUAACUUAAGGCUUUUUUUGGUUACAAUUAACUUAAGGCUUUGUAACAACAUAGAUUACUAUAUUUUUAAUUUUAAAAAUAUUAUAACAACACAUAUUAAAUUUGAAGAAUUAAGAAAAAUUCUAUGGUGAAGUCAUGAGAAUGACUUUUCUGGUGAAAUUAAUACUAUAGCAUCAAAAGUGUUGCGAGUAACACCUCACUGUUUGUACAGUGACAUCAAAAGUUCAGUCCUCAUAGUAUCAUCAAUUCAUCAAAUUAACAAGAAUACACUUAAUCUAAUUUUUUAUCCUACCUUGUUUUAAGUGUAACACCCUACAAAGUGUAACACUUAAGACUAUCACAUGAUACCAGCAACUCUGUUUCCAUGUUAAAGAUGCCAACGAUAAAAUAGUACCGGUAAGUUCAAGAUGUUGCAAGCAUUAUUAAACAUUAAAAUUAAAAUUAGCUUUUUCAAAAAAGUCAAUUUCAUGAAUGCACCAUAGAAGCUCCCUUAAUAUAAACCUUCCAAAACCCCUCAAAAUCCUCCUCCAAAUUUUUUUAGUUCCCUCAAAUGAGGAGGAUUUUGUAUAAUGAAGAAAAGUUAACCUCCCAAAGCCCUUAUCUCCCAUUUUUCUUUAUUUCUUCAACUUGUUCAUUCCUUUUUUUCCAAGCCUUCCCCUUUAAACUCGCAAGCAAAGUCCCAGUGUAUAUGUAAAAACUCAUCCAAGUACUUAAAAAAGAGAGGUUUUAUAUUCUAGAAGAUCUUAGCCCUACAAUUUCUAUGAGUAAAAACAACAACUAAGUCUUACGGAGGUUCCUUUUUCCACCAAGUGUGUUCGUUUAUAUGGAUCAAAUUAAUUACACUAUAACCAUAAUGGUUUGUCAUAAACCAUAUUUCAGUUCAACUCAUUACGUUUUAAAUAUUUUAUAAUAGUUUUUCUAAUAUAUUUUUUUUAGGUUUUCAUUUGUCUAUUUUGAUCUGAUUAUCCUUAAUAUUUUAUAAUCGCUCUUUUGUAUAAUGAAGAAUCAAUAGAUCUCUUUACAUGCUCAAACAACCUAAGCAUAUUUUCCCACUAUUUUUUCUACUGUAGAUGCUACCCUGAUUCUUUUUCUAAUAUCAUCAUUUCUAAUCUUAUCUCAUUUAAUUUUACCACAUAUCAAACGUAUCAUUCUACUUUUCGCUAUGCUUAUUUCAUUUUCAUAUUGAUUCUUCACCAUCAACAAUUUGAAGGAGUAACAUGAGUAUUUAUUUGUUUUCUCUAUAUUUUUUAGUUUUUCAAAUCUGUUUGUGUUUUUUUCUGUAUUUUGGUUACAGCUAAUUAACGGAUUGGACAGAAACAACGUUGACAUGAUGUGUUUUUAGCUUUUUUCGUCAGGAUACUACAAAAAUAUACUACUCUAUAUACGCAGAAGAUUUCCUUCAAGUCUUGUAAUAAAUAACUAACUUGAAGUUUCUAUUCUCAAAUGUGUUUGCUCAUGCUGACGUUGGGUAGUAGGAUAUGAAAGCAAUCAUUACUACUUGGGGGACACAAUUUAAUCAUUUUUAUUUCUUUAAAAAUCACCCAAGUAUCUAUAUAUUUGCAACAUUCCAAAAGCAAAUUUGGCAUCAUCUUAAUUAAGAAAAUGUUAAUUGAAAAAAAGUUGUUAUUUGAACAAUUAUCUUAUUCACAACUUCUGGGACAGUCAUAAAUUUACAAAGAAAAUGAGGUAUUGAAAAAGAAAAUUAUCAUAAAAGUUGUAAAAAAAUUGUUAUAAAGAUAUCAUUUUCCUUGAAAAAAAUCAAAUAGUCCAAUUUUCAUAACACCGAACUCAUCAAUUUCUAUAAAAACUUACUAUUUAAGGUUGUCGAAGAGUGCCCUUAUAAAAACUUAUUAUUUUAUUUUUUUCUGCAAUUAAAAAAGAAAAAAAAUAAGAUUGUCCCAAAAGUUGUAUAAAAUGGUUGUACAAAUAUCAUUAUCCUUUAAAAUAUAGUAUGAUGAAUUUUAUAUUUUGUGUAUGUUAAACAUUAUGGAAAAUGCUAAAGAGUGUUAUUAUGAUUCUUGUUAGAGAAAUUUAUAUAGAAACAUUCUUGUGAGAAAUGGUGAGAAAACGUUGAUUCAACUUUUUGAAUGUUUAAAAGACGAGGAGUGUUAUUUGAACAACCAUUUGGUUGACAAUUUAUGGGACAACCAUAAUUUACAAAGAAAAAAUAUGUUACAAAAAUCAAAGCAACAGAGAGAUAAAUUAAAAAAAUAAUGUGAGUAUGAAAGAGAAAGUUGUAACAAAAUAUGUAAGGUUUCUACUUUUUUAAUUCUUAACAAGUGUCCUUGUUAGCCAGACCCAAAUAUUAUUCUAUACCACUCAUUGAGGAUCACUUUUAGGAUGCACAAAUGCAUAAAUUGUCUUUGAUGCGCAAGGGUAAUUAAGCCUUUGAUUUUAGGCUAAUUAAAUCUAAGGUGGGCGAGUGAACUAAGUCUCCCACCAUGAGUGCGUUAUGUGAGUCGUUUGAUGAGUGAGGUUAUGAAGUAAAUUUCCCUAAUGGCUUCAGUAGCUCAUAAUUUUCAAAAAUCGUGUUUCUUCCCUCUUCUGCUCGUCAAAAGGUGAUUUUUCAUUGACCUAGGUGUCUAAUAUAUAUAGGCGAAUGUUUCCCAUAAUUUCAAGAACAGUUGGCCCGCGAUGCAGAGUCUUCCUGUCGCGACGCAAGUUGAGAUGAGAGUUAAUACCUUACAUUUUCUUUAGAUCCCAUGGCAUGCAACUUAUAGUACAUGACACAAGUUGAUGCGAGACUGAACAUGGCUAAUUCCCUUGAGAUCUUGCAACGCGUAGCGCAUAACAUACAUCACAAGCGAGGCCAAGGCUAGGUUAAGCUAUUUUCUUCAAUCCUUGUUCCAUUUCUUCUCACCAAAACGUCUUUAAUGAUUAUACCCCAAUAAUCAAUCAUGAUAAACUUGUAAAAAGCAUAGCACAGUCACAAAGUUGUCUGAUUUUGGUGGAUUUUCAUGGUUUCAAGGUUAUUUUCCAGUUUUUUUUUCCUGUUCAAGACUUUUUAUCGAAUCAUUUAUAAAACUCGACUAACAUACAAUCUCACUUGCUACUUUAACUCUAAAUUGACUCAAAGGAGCCAAAAACCCUAUAUGAUUUUCUGUCAUAUGUAAAAAUGGUCAUGUCAAAGUUUUUUAGUUAAAAUUAGUCAUGGUCAAAAUGCACAUGAGGGGCUACUAAUUAUAAAAGAAGGUGAAAAUGAAGAGGGUGAAACUGAAGUAAAAAAUACAAUUAAACUUAAAUAUAAUUAGAGACAUAUGGAUACUAGUCAUUAUUUAGGUUUUUUUUGGAUGUUAAACCUCAUCAUAAAAAAGUACCCAAAAAUGAGAGGAGGAACAAAAUUUUCAAUAAAGUUAAAUCGAGGGACCAAAAAACUAGUUUUUUAAAAAGGGGUCGUAAACUUCAUUUAUUGUUUUUAUUUUAAAUAAGGGAAUCAAAAGUGCAUUAAUUUUAGUCUAUUUUUUAUUGUAAUAAAUGCAUUUUUCACCAUUUAAUUUUUUGUGCGAAUUCAAUCCCGAUGUCAAAAAAAAUAAAUUUGUGCGAAUUUGUUCCAUGGCAAUAAAAAAUUUAAAAAUAUUUCAAAUAUAACAAUAUUAUAGAGUCAAAUUAAUUAGAAUUUACUCAUAUUUCAAUUACAAAUGAUGAUUUAUUUUGAAUAAGAACAUAAAUACUUGAAGGAUCAUGAAUAUGGCUUGAAGGAAAUAUAAAUAGUUGAAGGAAUCAUCCCCAAUCCCCCGAUUUAUGGCAUGUUUUUAGUUCCAACAGAGUUAAUGAGUCUAUUGUGUAAUGGGUUUGGACCUGAAGAAACCAUCCUCGCCCUUCCGAUUUGUGGUUUGUUUUCAUCCUCAACGGAAACACUGUCGCUAUUGUGUAUUGGGUCUGGACUUGUAGGAACCUUCGUCAAUCCUCUGAUUUGUGAUUUUUUUUCAACCCGAUAGGAGUCAGCGACAUUCUUGUGUAUUGGGUGUGCAUAUGGAGGAACCUUCCUCAACCCUCCGAUUUGUGAUUUGUUUUCAUCCUCAAUGGAGUCAAUGUCGCUAUUGUGUAUUGGGUCUGGACUUGAAGGAACCUUCCGCAAUUCUCCAAUUUCUGUCUUUUCCCCAUAUUUGAUUCUUGAUGACGAUGAUCCUUGCUUACCAACCUUUAAAAAUAUAACUUUUGUAUUUCAAAUUAGACAAAGUUUUAUUUUAAAAUGUCGAAUAUGCAAAAAUAUUUUUAUGAGUCUUUAAAAAGAAAAUAUUUGUAAUGUCAUCUUCCUUUGUAAGAUUUGGAAGAACAAAAGUAUGCCAUUUCUUUGUACUAAAUUAAUUAGUUAAAAUAUAAACUGUUUUUCAAAAAUAAAAAUUAAUAUGUAGACAAGCCUAUAACAGUGUGACAAACCUUCCAUUUUCCUAUCUUAUUUAGACUUUCUCCAUUAGCAUCAACGCAUGCAUACGCAGAACUGCAACCUGCAAGUAAAGAAACAUUUAUUUAUCAUUAAUGAAAAAAAUUACUCAAUAAACACAUGUUCAUUUCUUGUAACCAAGAAAUAUAUGAAUUUGCAGCAAACAGAAAAAAUUGUUCAUUUCUCCAAAUUAACGUUUUCUAGUACCUGUUUAUUUCUACAAAGAUUUUAUUGUUGCUAGCUACUGUCUAUUAUUUAUUAUAUGAAUGCUUUAUAGUCCAAAAACUAUGUACUAACAUGAAGUAAACAAUGCUAAAUAAACAUGAAUAAAACCUAGCAAAAUACAAACCAAGUUUUUUUUUGAAAAAACUAAAUGUGAGAAACGGAGUAUAGAAAUAGAAUAUUGACAAACCAGAAGUCUCCCUUAUAAGAAGCAAUGAAAUAAGAACAAGUAUAAUGACAGAGGUAGGGAUGAAUUUUGACGCCAUUGGAGUAGAAGAGAAAUAUUAGUGGUGAAGAAGACUAAUGCAAUGCACGUAAUUAUAGUCAUGUGUGUGAUUCAAGGAUUUCAAAGAAAUGAUUAAAACAUAAAUGCACAUAAUCUUGUUAUCAAAUGGUGGGGCUGUAUGUGUGUGAUUGUUGAAACGCGUGAUUUGAAUGUAAAUGCAUAUCUGUCUUUAAUGAAUGCACAAUGAUUUUGUACUUAGAUUUUGUACUUGACAUCUUUAAAAAGUGAUAAUUUAAUCUUCAAGUUUUGUGCAAACCCUAUCUAGAUCGUUCAAUGUUAGGCUGAUCAUAAGACGAAUACGGUCAAAUUAGGCCACUAUGAUGUAGGCGAGUUUUCUUAGUAAUUUAUUACUAUUUUAUUAUUUAAGUCUAUCUUUAUUAUUAUUUUUUUCUUUUCAGUUUGUUAUUUUUAGGCUCAUUAGGGUUUGUUAUUUUCCUAUUUAAGCUUAACAGAUGUAACCUAAGAGGCAUAACUUUUAUUCAAUCAAUAAUACUUUAGAGUUUUUUCCUCAUUUUUUGGUGGAUUCCAAAACCCUAUUUUCACAAGUUUGUCGCUUGCAAACUUGUUCUUUUCAAUCGAGGUUUAGCGCUUGCUAGCCUACGCUUCCGUACUGCGUCAGUUGGUAUCAGAGCAUGUUUCUCAUGUUCUUUUGGGAGAUCAACCGGUUAGGAGGGCAUAUAUUGACGGAUUAGCUGCGACCAUCAAAGCUGUGGCGGAUCUGAUGACGGCGUUAUCCUCAACAACCACGACUCGAACGGUGGUGUUGACGGCUAAUAUUGUCAACAUCAACAAUAACAAAAAUCAAAACAUGAUAUGUGAAUAAAUUAGGGUUUCACGUGGUGGAAACAAUCGAAAUAUUGAGUCGGUGUUGCAAAAGGAGACUUUGACAUUCAAAUCGAGCGUUGCACUUGACAAUAAUCCGAUUUUCGGAUCUUCGUUGUUGCAGGUUUAUGUAGAUGAUAUAUUCGAUGGAGUUAGUGAAAAAACUGUCGGUCUUGAUGAUUUAUUAGAUAAGAUUGGUGGAUUGCAUGCACCAAGCGCUAAAAGUUCCAUUAAAAAAAAAUAGCAUGAUUUUGAUGACUUCAUGAUUGGGUUUGGUGGAAGCAGCAUAUCCAAUAAUGGGAAAGCAAGCAUUGAGAAGAAUAAUCCUCGGAAACCAACUGCCAUAUCUCAUAAUGAUCCGUUUUUAGUAUUUGAAAGCACAACAUCUUCAAAAUCAUUCCUGGACUCAUUAGAGCAAAUCACUAAGAAUGGUUCUAAACAUACAAGUGGCAGCUCAACACCUCCCCAUUAUCGAGGCCUUCUCCCAAGCCAACGAAUGUUUCAAACUCAAUCAACAGCUCAAGUUUAUCAUCAUCAAUAGAUGAGGUUGAGAACUUUGCCAAGGGCCGAGUGUAGAGUAAUCCUAGUAGAAAAGCAAAUGGCAUAACAUGUGUGCAAGAAAUCAAUUCAGCAAACCAAAUAUUCAACAACAAAUUGAAAGGUCUUGUUAAGUUAUCUACGUAAAUUCUUAUGGUAUUUUUCAAGAUAUUAUAAGUAACCCUUCAGCUUAUGGUUUUAGUGUUAUAAAUGUUGGAUGCCGUGGAGUAGGAAGGAACAAUGGUCAAAUUACAUGUCUACCAAUAGUGCACCGAGACAUUAAACCAAAGAACAUACUUGUGGUUGUGGAUGACAAUAUGGAGCAUAUUAUAGCUGAUUUUGGCACUGCACUACGCAAGAAGCAGUUUGAGGAUUCUGAUUAAUUUCAUAGGUUUCAUAAUCACUAUUUCUCGUGUAUCACAGGUUCCAUAAAUUUCAAUCAAUAGGAUCUAAGAGGGUGGUCUCUUAUUCAUUGGAAGAGUCAUCAUGCAUGGAAGCACUUUUAUCAGAACAAGAACUGGGAGUCGAGUUCUUCAUAGAUGGAGGAGACUCAUGUAGGAGGGUUUCCUUAGUAAUUUAUUAGUAUUUUAUUGUUUAAGUCUAUCUUAUUAUUUGUUUGUUUUAUUUUCAGUUUGUUAUUUUUAGGCCUAUUUUUUUGUGGUGGUCGGGGUUUAAACCCUAGACCUUGCAUAUCCUAUUCAUUGUCCAUACCAACUGAGCUAAGCUCACGAGGAGGACUAUUAUUUUCUUAUUUAAGCUUAAACAAAUGUAGCCUAAGAGGCAUAACUUUUAUUCAAUCAAUAAUAUUUUAGAGAGUUUUUUCUUAAUUUCUGGUGGAUUCCAGAACCCUAUUUUUACAAUUUUGUCGCUUGCAAACUUAAUCUUAAUCUUUUUAAUAUAGGUUUAACGCAUGCUAGCCUACGCUAGAUUUAGGGUGAGUUUGUUUGAACUUAAAAAAAACAAUUUAUGUUAAAACAAUAUCUAUAGAUUUUUUGUUGAAAUUUAAAAAAAAAAAUUAAACUAUUUCUGUUUGCAUCUAUAAAAAAAAAACUUUUUUCCUACCGAAUUAACCCUCUUAAUAGACACAAUCCGGCCACAACACCCAAACUUGUUCCGUUUGCAAAGUGUUUUUGCAGCAUUUCAAAAGCCACUGUCAAAUACAAUGAUCAAUCAAAAUAGAAUAUAGAAUCCUUAAAAAUUUGAACAACUCUCAUAACAUAAAUUCCUUUGUUUCAACCUAUUAGGGGUUUGGUUUAUUAACGUCAUGGCCAAACCUCAUGAACUCAAACCAUUAUACGCAACACUUCUCAACAAAUGUUUUUCCUCGAAAAACAUAAACAGCCUCAAAAUAAUCCAUGCACGCACAAUUCGUUUAGGUAUUUCACACGAUGAUUUCAUUCGAACCAAACUUGUUUCUUGCUAUGCUUCAUGUUCCAAAUUGCACCAAGCAAAUAUUCUUUUUUCAUUCACAAAUCGCAAACCCACUUUCCUCUACAACUCUCUCAUUAGAGCCUAUUUAUCUCUCAACCUAUUUAAAGAAACGCUUUCGCUAUUUCGCGAAAUGAGGUUGUCUUAUAAACCCUUUGAUUGCCAUACUUUGCCGCUUGUGCUAAAAUCUUGCGCUGGUUUAUCGGCGUUAAGGCUUGGGAAACAAGUUCAUGGAGCUGUUUUGGUAAAUGGGUUUGCGUUAGAUUUGAAAAAUUCUAAUGCUUUGAUAAACAUGUAUGCUAAAUGCGGGGAGUUAGAGUUUGCGCGCAAAGUGUUUGAUGGAAUGUGUGAAAGGAAUGAGGUUACUUGGUCGACGAUGAUGGCGGAUUUUGGAAUGCAUGGUAGGUUUGAAGAGGUUUUUGAGAUGUUUAAUAGAAUGGUGGAAGUAGGAGAGAGGAUGGAUAGUGUGAGUUUUACGGUUGUUUUGACUGCGUGUAGUCAUGGCGGGUUUGUCGAGAAAGGGAGGGAGAUUUUUGAGAUUAUGAAGGUGAGGUUUGGGGUGAAACCUGAUGUGAGGCAUUAUACAUGUAUGGUGGAUAUGUUGGGGAGGGUUGGUUUAGUGGAAGAAGCAGAGAAGUUGACAUUGAAAAUGGAUGUUAGGCCUGAUGAAGCUUUGGUGGGUGCUUUGUUUGGAGCUUGUAAAACUCAUGGGAGGGUUGAUGUUGCUGAGAGAGUUGCAGAGAAGUUUUAUGGGACAGAGCUGAGUGUUGUUGCAUCCUCAAUUUGAAUUCAAUAUACAUGAUGUUUUCUCAUAACAAGACAAGGCUAUAUAUAGACUAUAGUUCAUUCUUUUAUAUCUUUCUAGCAUAUGGGACCUAUCUCAUCAUGGGUGCUAGAAAACCAACCGAGGUUUUAAUUUCCCUAUAGCUACAUGUAAAUGAGAUGAUAACUGUUGGUGUAAAAUUUUUCUCUUUCAAUUUCAACUGCAUCAUUUAUUUAAGAAUAUAGUUUUGUUACUUUAGUUCUUAUUUAACAAAUUGUAAAUUCCAACAUAGUAAUAAAGAUCUAGAGAUUAAUGAGUUAGAUCAAAAUAUAGUUUAUGAUAGAACACUAUAACGUAAUUUGAUCCGUGUAGCUGACUCCAUUUAGUGGAUAAGACUUGGUUUUUGUUAUUGUAUUCCAGCAUAAUACAUUUACCACUUAAAGUUUAGACAAGGAACACCAUUAACAUGUUGCAAUCAGUCAUAAACAUAGUCUACUGAGAUAGAAGAAAAGGAUUGGAAGAGGAAAGAAAAUAGAAAAAUCGAAAAACGGAGGGAGAAAAAAUGAAAAUUUGAGAUAAGCAAAUAAUCAAACACACACGCCAGUAUACAUAAAUAGAAAUCUAGAUAGAGACAUUGUCGCUUGUAACAUGGAUAAGCAAACUGUGUUUUUUUUUUAACAGUAUGAUUUUUCUACAUAAUUCAUAUAAGAUGCAAUAAAAAUUGACUAUAUACUUUUUGCUACAUAACAUGAGGAAAAGUUUAGGUCUUAAUGUUUUUAAUUGGUACAUUUCAGGUCUAGUGAAUGAGUUAUGUAACUGUGCACUCAGUCACAAAAUUCAAUCAUCAACAUAAGAUUCUUUUCCAGAGAAAUCAGGAACAUAGCCAUAUAAGUGCAGCUCAAAAGACAGAAGCUCCAAGGCUGAGUAAAUAUAAUCAUUCUCUUCAUGAUAUUUAUCACCGGACACAAAUUUAUGAAUGCCAGAAUCAAUCUCAAUGGAACUAAAAGCUAGAUUCUUUUGUAAGCCACGUUCUUUCAUUUCCCUCCUAACCUUGCUCGCACCAUCCCAUUUUCCAACAGCAGCAUAUAUGUUAGAAAAAAGCACAUAAUUUGAAUCUCCACCAGGGUACAAUUCAACUUGAUACUUCAUCACUUUUUCAGCCAAUUCAACAUCCCCUUGAGUCCUACAAGCUGCAAGCAAUGACCCGAGCACCACUUCAUUAGGCAUCAUAGGCAUUUUUUUUAUCACAUCCCAAGCCUCCUUCAACCUCCCUGCUCUACUAUAGAGAUCCACUAAGCAACCAUAAUGCUCAAUCCUCGGCGAAUUUCUAUGAUCUCUUUUAAUGUCAGCAAAGAUUUUCAGUCCUUCGUCAAUCAACCCAGCAUGACUGCACGCUGUGAGUGCACUCGUGUAACUAACUCCAUUCGGCUAGAACCCUUCCUUCUUCAUUGAACGAAAGAAACUCAAAGCCUUGUCAGCAAGCCCAUUAACCGCAAAACCAACAAUGAUCGAAUUCCACGACACCAAAUUUCGCUGACUCAUUCCAUCAAACACUUGACGAGCAAGCUCUAUACACCCACAUCGCGCAUACAUAUCUAUUAAAGAAUUCAAAACUUUAACAUUAUCCCUAAACUCUUUCUUCAUCACAAGUCUAUGAACCCACAAGCCAAGACCAAGUGCACCCAAAUUAGCACACGCGGAAAUAAUCGCAAUAACAGUCACAAAAUCUGGCACAACACCAGCCAGCUGCAUUUCUCGAAAACACUCAAGAGCUUCUUCAUAACACUCUUUCUUAACAAACCCACCAAUAACCACAGUCCAAGAAACAACAUUCUUCACAGGCAAUUUAUCAAACAGUUUAAGUGCAUCAUCAACAUCACCAUUUUUCAUAUACCCAUCAAUCAUAGUAUUCCAAGAAACCAAAUUUCUAACACCCAUUUGAUCAAAAACCAAUCUAGCAUAAUCCAAUUUCCCACAUUUGGCAUACAUGUCAAUCAAUGCAGUACCCACCAUCACAUCAUUCAUGGCAAAGCCAUGUUUGAAAGCGUGUGUGUGUAAUGCAGCUCCAAAGGUGAUGCUGGUUUUGGAGGGAGAGUGGGCACAAGCAGAGAGGAGAGUGAUGAGGGUGAUGUGAUUGGGUUCGACUUCGGCUUCGAGCAUUUGGAUGAAUUCGGAAGCUGCUUUGAGGAAAUUGUUAUUUUUGCAGUGGUGAGAAAUUGAGGAUGUCCAUGAUACGGUUUGGUUUGAGUUGGGUUUGUGUUUUAGAGAGAGUGUUUGGUUUUUGUUGGGGUUGUUUGGGGGAGAAAAUGUAGAGGGAGGGUGAAUUUGUGGAGGUUGUUUUGGAGGGUCAGGGUGGUGUGUUGGGGUUGCAAUGCACGUAGUAAGGAUCAUUCUUCUCUCAAUCGUGGUGGUAACUGAUUUUUGGUUGAGUACCUAUAUCAAAAUUGCUCAAAUUGCUCUGGACACAUAAGAUAUAGCCGAAAAACACUCUUUUGGGUGGUAAAUGUUUUUCUUUUGAUUAUAUCUUGAGAAUUACUAUUGACACAUUUGGUUUGGCUGAGACACACGAGUAAUUUACUUAAAUGUCCAUCGGCAGUUAACUGUCGAAGUUUUAGAAAACCGGAUGCAGUUAACUAUCGAGGAUUUCCUCAGCAGUAAACUGCCAAAGCGUCCUGAAGCCAAGACAGAGGCAGUAGCUUCAUUUCCUGAACCUGUAAUGUGUUUCAAACACAAAACACAACAUAUGUACCUGUUUUUUUUUUUUUUUUUUUUUUUUUUUUUUAUGCAUAACGGUUCAAAUGGCAAAACAAAUAUUGGCGCAAAUGCACAACUUAAUUAAACCAACAUUUUUAUACCAUUAAACAAAGUAAAAUAUCCCAUGAAAUUAAAAGUAAUGUCAUCAAAAUACAAAUAUACUAAUCAAUGUCAUCAAAAUACCAAAACUAAAAAACAAGUCCUAAAAAACAAACUACUACUACU